rnacentral:lncRNA from 1 species
GAAUGUUAUAGAGAGGUGCUUUAGGUUGCUAAAAGGAAGAUGGGCAAUUCUAAGGUCUAAGUUAUUUUACUCUGUAAAAACCCAAUAUAGAAUCAUAAGUGCUUGUUGUCUUCUUCACAACUUUAUCAGAAAAAAAUGCGUAUUGACCCAAUGGACAUCGAGGUUGUUGAGGAUGUCACUAGCUCACAAGAGGAAGAAGUUAGUGAUAGAAUAACCUAUGUAGAGACAAGUGAUGCUUGGGCUACUUUCAGGAAGAAUUUGGUGAAUGAUAUGUUCGAGCAAUGGAUGAAUAGUCGAAAUGCAUAGGCUAAUAUNNNNNNNNNNNNNNNNNNNNCUUGGGCUACUUUCAGGAAGAAUUUGGUGAAUGAUAUGUUCGAGCAAUGGAUGAAUAGUCGAAAUGCAUAGGCUAAUAUGUUUAAUGAAAUUUCUAUUUGUACUUAAACAAUUUUUUUUGUUAUUUUUGUAAUGUCAUCAUCUAUUUUGCUGUUGUUUUAUCUAUUAUGUUUGCUAUAUAAUAUUCAAUGAUUUAUUUGUCACUUCUUUUAUUCAAUUAAAUAUGUACAAUUACUUGUGUCCAAUGCGUGCAAUAUAUUAUUCUUUCUGUCUAAUUUUUAGGAUGGAAGAACCACUUUUUCAAGAAAAUAAAAAAGCAAACUCAAGGACAGAUAGAACUACUUCCUUGAAAAGAAUUUGGACAAACACUGAAGAUGCAAAGCUGGUUGAGUGCCUUAUUGAGGUAGUGAAUGCUGGUGGUUGGAAGGGGGAUAGUGGCACAUUUAGGCCAGGAUUUCACCAGCAUUUGGAGAGAAUGAUGGAAAUAAAGCUUCCUGGUUGUGGAUUGAGAGGAAAUCCACACAUUGAAGAUUGAAGAUUUGAGUGAGGAUGAUAUGUUGAUUGCUAGCAAGGUCAUUAGCAAAGAUAAGUCCAAAAUUGACUUCUUUUUUACCCUGCAUCAACAGUUCAAGAGAAGAUAUGUGCUAAAGCAGUUAGAGGGCGGUCCAUAUAGACCCUCAUUUGAUUUUGAUCCAGUGUGAUGCUACCUAGACCUCCUCACAGUUAUAUUUUAGAUGUUUGUCGAUUUGGUGAAGUUUUGAUGUUUAUGGCUUUUUAUUGAUUCGGAUGUUACAAUUCUUAGUGUUAUCAGUAUAUAUACUACUGUUUUGCUCUCUUUUCGAACAUUCCGUUCGUGUUGGAAGAAACUCUCUACAACAUGGUACAGGUCCAAACUAAUAUGUCCAUCUUCUGUACUAGCUUUGUCUUAUCUUGAGAAAAGCUUCUGCAUCCAUUAGUACUCGAGCUGAUUGCUGACGCAGAAAACUAUACAUUUCCAUUACAUGGAGUUAGCUGAAUUUUAUGGUAUUACAUUAAUACACUAGUUUGUCAAGCAGCUUCUGUAUACUUAUCAGUGAAUUUCCUAACUGGAGAGGCUGACUAAAUUUUAUAGUAUUACAUUAAUACACUAGUUCAUUUGAAAAGAAUUUUAUUAGCAUGAAUGGCCGUCAAGGAAUCAAAAAGAAAUUUUUUAUAGGGGAAUAAGCAAAAGAAACUUAUUAAGGGCUAUAAGUGACAAAAUUAUAGAGCUAUUAUAGGAAUUAGCAUAUUGACUUAUAUUUUUAUUUAUGAGAAUUAAAAACACAUAAAAAUCUAACUAAGAUAUAUCAGGGGUAUUUGUGAUAUUAUGUGGUCGGUGAUCUUGGAUCCCCGUACCAUACCAAACAAGUUACUCAUGGAUACUCAGGGAUUUUUAAUCACUGGACCAUGGCCAACCAAACACAGUGAUCUUAGAUCACUGGGGAUCAAAUCACCCUAGUAUUCGGAUCACCGGGGAUCUUAGAUCACCGUGGUGAUCCUGUUGGGGUUACCAAAUGCCCCCUAAUGAAGAUGGUGGCUAUGUUUGCUAGAACGUGCCGCAUGUUGUAUUAGGCUAGGAGGGAAAGAAGGAGAUAUGAUGGUGGUGGUGAGUCUUUGAGAGGAUUUUUGGAGGCUUUUAUCAGUGCAUUUGAGAGCUCAAAAGUCCAGUAGACACAAAUCAACACACAUGCAUUGCUAACACAUUUUUAAUAAAUGAUGCACACAUGGCAUAUAAUGAGUUGUAUGCCUUUUCCAAGGAUGUAACUUUUUGUUUGACCCACCAUUCAGGAACAUCCAUGGACUUGUUUUUGGCAAUACUCAUAUUCUGAUCAACUAUACAGCAGUGUCUAUUAGUACAAAUUUCUUUAACAAGAAGACUAGGUACAACACUCUGAUGCAUACAUAGUAUUCGAUACACAUGAUACGCUACUCGAUACACACUUAUAUUUUUGGGCAUAUUGAAUCCGAUGCUCGGCGUACACUUACUAUUUACUCGAUAUAAAUAUCUUUUCUUAGUGCACAAUUAUGUUUAUUGUCUAGGUCACCAAGGCAUACACAAACAAUUUAGGCUAUAUAUAUAGUUAUCUAUAUUCAUUAUAUACAGUAUAAGUAGGUAUUUACUUUUUAUCAUUGAUGUGGCAGUGCCUCCUCUGAUUCAAAGCAGCUUGGAACCAUGAAGGCUGGACUAAUAUCUCCUUUGAAAUCCACGAGUAGGUCCUCGAACAAGACUAGGGAUGCCUGGAUAACGAGUCCUCAAAAAUUCUCCCUCGUGCCAGCUAUGGAAGAAUCAACUUUAAAUGGAUUAGAGGAAAGUAAGCUGUCGAGAAAAAGAGCUUGACCGAGAGGAAAGUAGCUGGCUGACACUUCAUUUCCUCCAAGACUCACUCACAGAUGCUCGCCCCUACCUUCCCUCCCCCGUCUUCUCCUCCUUUGGGGACAGGUCUCCCUCUCCCUUGGCCCCGCUUCAAAAUAUUAGCACUUUGACGAACGCCAUCAUCCUCUUUCCGUUUACUGGACGUUGCGCUGCCCUCCUCCAUGCCCACGUCACUCUACUUAGCCUCAUCCAGAGCACUCAUCCUUGCCCACCCCCUCUUCUUAACCGUAUGCCUGCCUUGAUGAACACCCAUCCCUGACUUCUCUCGCAUUGCUGCCGCUUCCUUUCAUCCCCUCGGACAUCCAUUUCACUUGGACAAUAUCUUAAAUAUAACAUUUAUCUUAUAAUCACUCUUAUAAAACCUCCUUUUUUUUAAAUAAGCACUCGCGACGAAUGCUGCAGGAGUGCCGUGCUAUGCAAAUCAAGCAUGUCCUACAGAAGACGAACCAAGUUAUUGACUGGAUCACCUCAUUUGCUACACAAGAAUUUUUUUUAAACUCAGUGGUCUUAUAUUUUUUUUAUUUUGUGUAACCUUUUUGCCAAAGGUGUAGUGUAUAAAAAAACUAAAUUAUUCUGUAUUAUGCUGCUUGUAUUUGGAAGAUAGAGGAGAUGGACGGGCCCCACAAUCAUAGUCGGUGUACCGGCUGUUGGCGUGAAACACGUCAUAUGCAAAAGAAGAAGAGGAACCUGAGUGGGAACAGAAAUUUAGAAGGUCACGAUGAAUGUUGACCAGGGNNNNNNNNNNNNNNNNNNNNNNNNNNNNNNNNNNNNNNNNNNNNNNNNNNNNNNNNNNNNNNNNNNNNNNNNNNNNNNNNNNNNNNNNNNNNNNNNNNNNNNNNNNNNNNNNNNNNNNNNNNNNNNNNNNNNNNNNNNNNNNNNNNNNNNNNNNNNNNNNNUUAGCGGUGGUGGCGAGAAGUACAAAUCUUUUACUCCUAUUCUUCUCUUUCUAUUUCUUUCCUUCUCGAUUUCCCUUCUGCCAUCGAAGCCCCGAUCCCUGAAAAAGAGGUGCGAUUACGACAUCCUCGGAAGAUUCUUGCUCUACGAUAUCCUCUCUCUUCCAUCUUUUCGGAAAUCUAGGGUUCUCGUUGUUGUUUUUUUUCUUGAGAAAAUUUGGCUUCUUUCGCGCCGUUUUCUGGGAGGGGUUAGGUUUUCCUCUUCUUUUUCUUUGGGAGAAUUUAGAUAUUUCGCUUUCUUUUACUUUUUUUCCAUAUGGUUUGUGGUUGAUUUGCAUGCUAUAACUUGGAUUCUUGCUUUAAUGAAUUAGAGAUUGGGCUUCCAGCUCUGGUUCUGCUCCGGGUUCUUGAUUUUAAUAAUAAGGUGUGAAUUCGGGUUUCUUUUUGUUGUUUCGAGUUUGAAGGCUCCCGGAAUGAGAUCGUUAUUGAUUAGUUAAUAUCAAAUCUUGGUGUUCUUAGUUGUUUUAAUGGCUAUACCAGUUUCAGCUCUUAGGGUAUAAUAUGGAAUUGUUGAUUUCUCAGUUACUUUGAUUGAAUUCUUGAUUUCAAGAUCGAGCUAUCGGAUAGGGUUUCUUUAGGAUUGUCCAGCAUCAAUGCAACCAGAAGUUUCUUUUCCUUUCCUUUUCUUUUCUUUUUCAUUUUCUUUUUCGUUUUUUGUUUUGAUGGAAGGAUGGCAGAUCCAUCCAGAAUUCAUUGACAACAAGUUCUCAUUGUCUCGUUGUUCUUUAGUUUAUCAAAUGACCGGACCUGUUCAUUUAUUAGUUUCUGAGUUGAACUUAUGAAUUUAUUGUUCUCUUAUAAGCUGAUGCUGCACUACUUUUAAACUGCAGGAAAGGAACGCGGUUUGCUUUGACUGCACGGUUGAAACUGAAUGUUGAUGUGUACCAGAUUUGCUAGGUUAAAACAUCAUACCUUGUACGCCACUUUCCUUUUAUUAGUUGAAUUUAUGAUGUAUCGGACUUGCUAGGUUAAAACACUAAACCUUUUACUGUACUUUCCUUUUAUUUAUAUUUGAAUUCUUUUUCUUUAUCCAUUAGUAAUCAAAAUUCUGUGAUGAAAUCAUGCUCCCUAAUUGCAUUGACUUCUUGUAACAUUUGUUCGACUCUCUUGGGUUGUUUUGAUGCUUAUCAAACCAUUGAAAAGUGGAAGUUGGGUUUAUACAUUUGAUAGAUGCUUAGUAAAGUAGGCUUUAAGGGGAUGGUGUAUGCAUUUCUUCUCCAUUUCCUUAAUCAAUUGUAAACAUUUGUUGGUACUGGGCCAAGGAGGCAAGAGGCCUUAUUAUGUAGCAGUUGACUACCUUCAGUCUAUUGUCUUGUUUGUACAGUUGGGCUUAGUUCACAGUCACAAGUUCAGUGUUAAGGUGCAAGUCGGGUGGGUGUAGAUAUUUGAAAUUUGGAACCCAAUGUGGAUGGAAUGCCAGAAGUUUUCAAAGGAUCCAGAUUUUAAGUUUUCUAUUUUUAUAUUGUAAAAAUAAAAAAGAUCAUGUGAUUUUUUAUAAAUUCAUUUAAAACCAAACAUGGCCAGGAAAUGACAGUAAACACUAGCUGCACCACCAACACCAAGAGCAAGAUAUAGGCUCAUUAACUUGCAGUCUAUGGUUUUUCCUUGAAUUAAUCAACAAAUAAUUUUGUACCAUCUGUAAAUCAUUGAUUUUUUUUGACCAAUUUGAUUAUUAUGGAGGAGUAGCUUGAAGAAUCUCUCGGCUAAUGAACAAAAAAUUUCAGUUUUUUAAAAAACUUUGGGCAGUUUUAAUAAUAGUGUUACUAUGAUUACAACAGUCUACCAGACUGCAGUAGGAGACAGAGAAGCUUUGCUUUUUCAUAAUUCAAGCAUAUAGUUCUUGUAAUUAAUGUGAACUUACUGAAGGCUUUUGCCUUGAUGAUCUUUGAAAUGUGGAGAUCUUUUCUGUACCUUUUUUUUUACAAUGUCUUUAGUGUAGAUGCACUGAUAUCCUUGUACCUUUGCUUCUUGCAUAUGGUUAGGCAGGUGAUUAUUUCCAUGGUACUGCUAGGAAAUUAUAAAUGAGGCCAACUCAUAUAUAACACCCGCAGUUAAUGUAUUCUAUCCUUUUGUUUGAUUCUUCUCAAUCUCAGUUAAAAAAGCUAAAUGAUGGUUUUUACCACCUGAAGUCGCCUGAAGUCACCUGGUCAUCUUUCUGUCAGAGGGUUAAUAACCUGUUUGUGGUUACUAAACUGGAUUUGGUAUGCACCGCUAUGAUCUGUAGAAUAUGUGUGGUUGUUUAAUGAUUUAGAACAUUCUGAAUUCUUAAAGCAUUUGCUCUAGGAAAAGCAAAUUUGCAUUUGCUGAUCCAUCAAGUUUGUUUUGUGUGAUACAUAAACAUUGAGUUCCCUUCUUAUCAUACAUAUGGAUCUCUUUAAGGAUCUCAUUACUAAUGCUACUGAUUUUUAAAUAAGGCUUUUCUGCUCUCAGAAUCUUAGUUUCCUAGUAAUGCAUCAGUGGUUUCCCCCACUAGAGUUCUACUCUGACAAUUAGAUUUAUGCAGGUUGGAGCAAAACCAUCUCCAUAGAUGAGUAGGAAGGCUGCUUAUCUCAAUCUGUUCCUUUUGCUUCUCAGUAUUUUUUUCAUGAUUCUCAGAUGAUUAGAAUGACUUGUCUGCAGCUAACUUCAUCAUGUAUUAGCUAAUUUCUUCUUACUCAAAGUAAUAAGUGAGCCAUAUAUCUGGGCUAGGCACAAUGACUCAAAAGGGUUAGGACUCAUUAACUUGAACCUAACCUGACCCAUUUGUUGGUCAGGCAAGACCAAUCCAUAUCCAACUCAUGGAAUGAAUGGGUCAGGUUAGAUUGGUCAGCUAUAACUUGGAUCGGAUUUGGUAAAAGGGUCUAGGUCAAAACUGCAACCCCUAAUUAUAUUUAAGAGUUUUUUUGCAUGGACACCCUCCUAAAUAUCAAAUUUUGCAUGAAUACCCUUCCAAAAUUAAUAUUUGCAUGUAUACCCUCGUAAAACACUUGUUUUGCUAUUCUACCCUUUUCUAUCCUUAUUUUUGCAUAUAUACCCACACUAUCUAAUGCUGUUAAAAAAUUAACAGUUUUCAAAUUAAAAUAACUAAAAUACCCUUAAUGGGAUCUAUUGGGGCCUACAACUUCGCCGAGCCUAGAUAUGCAAAAAAGAAACAUUUAUAAGAUGAUCGUGAUGAAGGACAAAAAAGUAAUUUCAAUAUUUUAUUUUAUUUAUUUUUAAUUAAAAUAAAUAUAGUUUUUAUUAACGGUGUUAGAAGAACUGUUAUGUUAGGGGCAUUUGUGCAAAAACAGCGUUUUAUGAGGGUACAAAAAUAAAUAUAAAUUUUAAGAAGGUAUUCACGCAAAUUUGAAUUUUUAGAAGGGUAUUUAUGCAAAAAAUUAUAUAUUUAAGUGUAUAAGAAUAACAUCCUAGAAAAAUAUUUACUCUUUGGGAAAAUAUUAAGAGCGCCCACGGCACUAACCCUAUUAACUUGGAAGGUGGGUAAUUACUUAAGAUGCUACUUUAACUUGCAGUAUUAGGCCGAUGGAGUAGGUAAAACCCAAUGAUUAAUCCUCCCCCAAUGGAUCAAGUAAUCUAUAUGUCAUUUUACCUUGUACUUUCAAAUUCUAUAUUAUAUUUUUAAAUUGUAAAUUAUUUCGAUCAUAGCUUAGUUGUUACUUGUUUAGUUCUUAAAAAUUGAGAUAAUAAGCUUAUCUUCCUAGUAGUCAGCUCGAAGUUCAUGGUUUUUGGAGUAGUAUUUUAGCUCUCAGUAUUGAGCCUUGCAUCGGUAAUCUUACCAGUAUGAUAUGGUGUGGUAAUGUUCCCUUAUCAACACAUGGUACAAUAUUGGAGUUGGCACACCAUCUGUACAAUGUGCUAGUACAGGGGUUCGAUAAGUUAUCGUGUAAGUAUUGGUAGGGGUGCAAAUGAGCUGAGUAGCUUGCGAGCUGCUCAAGCUCAACUUAGGUCUAAGUUCAUCUCGACUCAACUAUUACCGAGCUGGAGUAGCUCGAAUCAUUUUUUAGGUCGAGCUCAAGUAGCAAAAUACCCGGCUUACAGCCUAGUCGAGUAUAUAUAUAUUUUUAAUAAUAUUAUAUUUUACUUAUAAUACAUAUUAUUAAUUUAAUAUUUUUGAAUACAAUAUUUAACCAUCCUUUUGGAUUAUAAUAUAUAGACCGCUCCUUGCCUUUUAUUUUGUAUUUUAACUAUAUUUUUUUAAUUAUGAUUAAUGAUCGAAUUUAAGCUUGAACUCGAGCUUGAGCAUAGCUCGAUUGAUAUGUGAGUCGAGUCGAGUUGAUCUUGAGUAUUGCUUUUUUUUUUAUCGAGUCAAGUUUGAGCUUGGAUAUUAAGGCUUGAUCAAUCUCGAGUCGAGUUUCGAGCUCGAGUAUUUUGAAUGGAGUCGAGCUCGAGGCUCUUGUACAUCCACGCUUCAAUUGAAAAUGGAUGUAAACACUAUACUAAGUUUCUCAAUGAAAAUAUGAUAUGACACAUUAACAGUAUGAAAGUCCAAUGUUUUUGGCAUGUAUCCAUGCUUGACAAGUUGAAAACAUUAUGAUUUUUAUUCAGAUCAUAUAAGGUUUUGUUAUUGGUGGUCAACAAUUUUACAAUACUUUAAAAGGAGGAGCAUGGUUUCUGUUAUAGUUCUACACUUCUACUGUUCCUCCACUUUUUACUGAUAUUGUCUGACAGAAAUAACUUGUCUUUCAGUUAAAUAAUUCAAGGGAAUAUGCGUGACCCUUUUGAAGUGCAACGAAAUGCGGUUAAUGCAGACCGACGAGCACCAAAUGAACUUAUGUCACCUGAUCUGAUGCCAUCUGGUACUAGCAAUGUGCUUGGAAAUGGUGAUGCUGGAUUUGGGACUCCAACCUCUGAUUCUUUAAUCAGGUCAUACUCAGUAAAGAGUCGAGUUUUUUUUUUNNNNNNNNNNNNNNNNNNNNNNNNNNNNNNNNNNNNUUUUUGCUCAAUUUUGCUCUAUAUCCAUGAUAUUAAAUUUAUAAGAUCUACACAAUCAACCAAAUAUCAGACAUGUUAUUGUUUUAGCAAACAACUGGUUUUUUCAUAGGCAUCAAAUCCAAAGAGCUUCUGGUCCAGGGAAAUCAAGAGGAGAUGAAUUUAAUAAGCAUUUAUUGGACCCAGAGAUCAUGGUAAUGGUGCUAGAGAAUUGUAUUCGAAGACUAUAUUAGGUUAUUCUAUAAUCUUGUAAUUUAUUCUUGAAUAACUAGCACUUCAAAAUGAUUUGCUUAAUUCAAUUUUUCUGCAGGAACUUUACUAUAGAUCCCGAUCACAGGAAGAAGAGAUCCUGCUACUUCGCAAGCAAGUUGCUGAUGCCUUCGUAAAAGUACAGAUCUCAUAACCCUUUGGCAUGAUGAUUGGACCAUAACAAUCUUCCAGUUUCUUCUAAUGUUAAGUGUUCAACUAAACUAUGUGAUUCUUGUGGCUUUUAGGAGCUUCAGUUACUGAAUGAGAAGCACAUUUUAGAGAGAAAGCUAUCUGAGUUGCGGAUGGUUUGUACUCGUUGAAUUGAUAUAUCUUGAUUGGGAAGUCAUUUAUAUAUGUUUCUUUUAUGGAACUAACAUAUAUACAUUGUGCAACAGGAACUUGAUGAGAAACAGGAUGAUGCCAUAUCGAGUACCGUGAAAGAGCUGACUAAGAAGAAAAAUUGUCUUGAAGAGAAUUUAAGACUAGCAAAUGAUCUAAAAGUAUGGUAUCUCAGUACAUUUCAAGCAGAUACACAUAUGCAGUCUGAACUGUAAAACAAAUAUCUUUUGCACUAUUCCGUCUCUUUCAUUCAAUAAAAAGUUGUUUAUCUUAAGUUUCAGUUGUUACCUGUAACUAUUCUUUGAUCAAUUCUUGUUUGUUAAACUAAUAGAUGUUAAUCAAAUAAUGGAAUAAGUAGUAUUGGACUGAUUUCGUCUCUAAAUUAAUACAGCAAGUCUGCCACAAGGCAUCUUGUUAUUGACAUAUAGGCAAAUGAAAUGUACCAGAUGUGACAGUACGUCAUGGUUUUAUGAUAACUAUGAAUAAGGAACUGAAACAUAUGGUUCUCUUUUAUCAGAUCUUCAGUGAAUUCUUUUUGCAAGCUUUUUCACGUAGUAUUAGAAUACAUCUCUCAGAUGAAUUGCAGGCUUAAAUUACUGAAUCAUAUGACAGGAAGAAUGCUGGUAGAGUUAGUGACUUGUGGAAACAUAAUCAAGUGCUAGAACAUUUCUAAUGCCUAAGCUUUUGUAUCAUCUUAAGGACUGAAAGUCGCAUUUAUUUAUUCCCCAAAACAUUGCAUUUAAUGAACCAUGAGACUAUUUUAAGUAUUUUCAAGAAUCAAGAUACUAAUCAUCAAUUUGAUGACGGCAUACUAAUUAUUGGUUCAAUAUAUAAUGGUGACUUGGGAGAGCAUUGACAUGAUGAGAGAAAACUCUUCCUUUAUCCACUUUCUUGAGCUCAUUUUGGUUGAGCAAGCUUCUUUGAGUUGAAAUUGAUGAUUUGAGAUUCUUAAAUCAAGUUUAUAAGCCAAGAAAGGAGGAAAAUUAGUCUAGUAGAGGUUAUGGCAUGGUUUGGCCAUCCACUAUACAUACAAGGAGGAGGAACCUCUUCUUUCAUAAAGCUUUUCUCUCACCAUUCGAUUGAGCUUGAAUUUUAUUUAUUAAAAAAGUUUGAUGCAUUUGACAAUUGGUAUGCUUAUUGUUAAUUUUAUACAUUAUCAGAGUGUGCAUUUUGUUGGUUGUAGCAUAGAUAGUUUCUGUUCCUAGCUUGUGUUGUUGGCCCAGUCAUAUCUUGUCUGGUCUGGAUGGUCAGAACUCUUCUAGUGUUUGGCUUUCUAAAACAUGGAUAAUCAUAUCCUCCUCAUCUGCCAACUGUUUGAGGAGUGUUUUACUUCGUUAGGUCCAUUGUGAACUUGCAUAUUUCCUGUGCAACACUCAUGCUGGAAACAUCAUUAAACAUUGCAACAAAAUCUGAUAUUACAUGACGGAAUGCAGGAGAAAAAUCCCAUAAUUUUUGCUAAGGGAAACUGUAAGUAUGAAAGAGUAAAAAAUCUCUACCGUUCCAUUCAAAAACUCAAAUAAUUUCUGAAACUAGGAAGGAAAGAACUUAGUAAACCAUAUGCCUUAAAAGUGACAUAACAAACUUGAUGUAGUUAGUAUUUAUCCUGUUCCUGAUUGUAAAUUAUAGCUUAAAGACCUGCUACGCAUAUAGUAGUCUUCCAAAAUGCCUGGUAAGUUUGUGAUGUUCUAGAAUAAUCAGUUUUUCCCUUUCUGAAACAUACAAAUCAUGGGAUUCUUUUGAACAUCUUUACAUGUUCAAUCUGACUAUCUAGCUUUUUGUGAAUAUAGUGAUUCUUGAUUUAGAACUUUUGGUUAUUGUCCUACUUUUCAAGGUUCUGUUGUUCUCAAUGUAGAUAAUCUGUGUGUGGUCUGGUCUACCAAAAGAAAAAAUAGUAAUAUGUUCUGAACAGCAUCUCUAUCUCCUGAUUGACUGAUUGAUCUGUGUUGUUAUGUUAGUUGAGAUCUCUUGGGGAAAUGAUUUCUUUCACCCAGAAUUUGUAAAUUGUUAAUAAUAGAUGUUACACCCAGAAUGACGUUGUGACAUUAAUUGAGAUCUCUCAGGGAAAUGAAUUCUUUUGCCAAAAUUGUAUCAUUAUGAGUUAGCUUUUGGUGUGGCUAGCAUGUUACAUGGUUCUACAAUUACUGAACAUUUAUUGUUGACAAUUUUCCAUGAUGGUUUCAUUAAGAUUUUCUUUGUAAUUCAUAAGCACCAUAUCCAGCAUCUAAAAUUGUUAAUAAUAGAUAUUACAACCAGAUUGACUUGUGCUGAUUCUGUGGUUCCAGUUAAAAGUGGUUAUCGAUUCUAUCUUUGAAUUCUUUGUGUCCAUCCAUUUCAAUAAAUCAUGGCUAAUUUUGCUAUGAGGUUUAGAGCCACUUAACUGGCAUUGAAAUAAUCAUGCUCAUAAGGGUCAUGAUUUUCUUCCCUUCAGCUGGUCUUGUUAUCAUGACUUUGGACUCAGUAUGUGGAUGCCUGUCUUAUUCUGUUGGGUGCCGUUUGAUAGGAGUAUAAGAAAAAUGGGAUAAGGACAGUUACACUAAGCGCUUAUGCCAGAUGCUUUUUCUUUCUCCAAAAUUUUUGCAAUAAGCUGAAAAUUUGAAUAAACUGUCCAAUUUUUCUGAAAUGCAGCCUUGGACUGUUAUAGAUAUUUCACCCAAUAAUAUUAUUAUUUUAAAUACAAUAUUAAUAUUAAAGAAUAAUAUCAUAUAUUAUAAUAAUAUAAUUUUAUAGCAUAUAUCAUAUAAUAAUAUUAAUAUCUUAAAUAUAAUAUCCAUAUUAAGGAGUAAUAUUAUAUAUUACUUAUUAUAAUAAUAUAAUAUUAUAACAUUACAGCAUAGUAUAUUAUUUAGUGAAAUGUACGAUAGAUAAAAUAUAUUAUAUGGCAUUAUGAUAUUAGUAUUUUAAAAUACUAUCGAUAAUAAUAAUAUAAUAAUUAUGCUAUAAUAAUAUAUAUUAUUUUAUUACAUCAACAUGGUCUACAUAUAAUGCUAUAAUACACCAUUUGAAUUCUAUAUAAUGAUAUUAUGACAUUAAUCUUAAAGAAUUAUUGUAACUAGUUUGAAACAUAAAAAUUCAACAAUAUAUUAUAAUAAUAUUAUAUCAAUAUAAUAUAAUUAUUAUCUAAUAUAUAAAUUUAUUAGAGAUUUAUAAUCAUUCAAUAGUAAUAUCAAUGCUAUUAUAUUAAUAAAAUAUUAUAUAAAAAAAUAUGAUAAUAGAAUAUUAUAAUACAAUACAAUAUUAUGUAAUAUUAGAAUUAUUUUAAUAUUAUUGUUUUAACUAUAAUACUGAUUUUAUAAUUGUGUACAGAAUAUUGAAUACUUACUAUAAUGGUACAAUAAUGUUAUAGAUUAUUAUAUUAUGAUAAUAUCAUAAUAAUUAUUAUAACACAUUGUGAUAUAAAAUAUGAUAUGUAGAGGAAGAGCUACAUAUAUUCACUUCAUCGUUGCUAAGCUUAUUAGCUGAAUUCAGUAUUCGACCCCCGAAUGAUAAAUGCUUCCACAAUUGGUAGUGGUGCUAAGCGUUUAUACCAUCAUAUGCACUGGAAGAUAAGAUCUGCGAAUGCUGGUUUUGAUGAUAUAAACCAUCUGGUAGGAAAUCAACCUAGUAAUCUGACAGCCAGUUAUGGUCAUCAGCCCUCAAGUUCUUCAAAAAGUCAACUUUCUCAACCAUUCAUGGGAUCAAAAGUGAACGAUUUUCCUCAAUACAAUUACUAUCCAAUGGAUAUGCACGUCGAAGCAAGAUCUAACCAGUCAAGAUUUAUUCGAGACUAUGACAUGCCAUUAUCCAAUAAUGACAAGCCAAGGGAGGUUGGAGGUACUUCUGCUCCUAAUUUUUUUGAAGAUAAUACUGGUGAGUCAUACAGGAAAUUGAUGACUGAUUCCCAAUUUUAUAUGCCUCCCCCACAUGACAAUCAAGCAUCCUCUGUUUCAGAAGGUGAGGCGUCUCUACCUGGUAUAGAAGGAUUUCAAAUUAUUGGUGAGGCAAAACCAGGAAACACAUUAAGAGCAUGUGGUUAUCCAACAAAUGGUACAACUCUUUGUAUCUUUCAGUGGGUUCGUCAUCUUCAAGAUGGUACUAGGCAGUAUAUUGAAGGAGCCACUGUCCCGGAAUAUGUGGUAACUGCUGAUGAUGUUGACACACUUCUUGCUGUAGACUGCACACCCAUGGAUGACAAUGGUCGUCNNNNNNNNNNNNNNNNNNNNUACUUACUAUAAUGGUACAAUAAUGUUAUAGAUUAUUAUAUUAUGAUAAUAUCAUAAUAAUUAUUAUAACACAUUGUGAUAUAAAAUAUGAUAGUAGAAUAUUAUAAUACAAUACAAUGUUAUGUAAUAUUAGAAUUAUUUUAAUAUUAAUUUUUUAACUAAAAUACUGAUUUUAUAAUUGUAUACAGAAUAUUGAAUACUUACUAUAAUGGUACAAUAAUGUUAUAGAUUAUUAUAUUAUGAUAAUAUCAUAAUAAUUAUUAUAACACAUUGUAAUACAUUAAUAUCAUGUAUAUUAUAUAUUAUCAUACAAGACAAUAAUAUUAUAUUUUUGUUAUAAUAGCAAAAAAUGAUAAUAUUUUAUCUUAGUAACAAUAUAUAUAUAUAUUAUACUAUUAUCAUAAUUAUAAUAUUGAUUGCCAUGUUAUAAUAUUUACAUAAUAUAAUUAUAAUGUAUAUCUAAAUUCAGAGAUACAAUUUAAAGGGGUGAAAUGGGCAUGAAAAGUGGGCAUAAUUCUAUUCCAAGGACCCGUUUGAGAGAGCUUUUGGAGGGCCAAAAAGCACUUUUUGGCCCUCCAAAAGCACUUUGGUAAAAAAGAGUAUUUGGUAAAAAUUUCAGAAAGCUGUUUUAGCUUUUUUCAGAAACUAAAAAUAGCUUUUUAGGAGAAGUUCCAUUUUGGAGCUUUUUAAAAAAGCACUUUUAGGCUCCGUCGGAAAGCUAUUUUUUUAAUCAAAAUACCCGUGAUAAAAUAUAACAAUCACACAAAAUAUCUCUUUAUAAUUCUGAAAAAUUAAUUGCACUAAUAAUUAUAAUAUUUUAUAUCUUUAUUAUUGUAUUAUACUAUAAAUAUAAUAUUAUAUUACGUUAUAUCAUAAUGCAUUAAUAUGUUAUGUUAAAUAAUUUAAUAUUAUAUUAUAUUAUGAAAAAUUAAUUUAUGCUAAUAAUUAUAAUAUUUUAUAUCUUUAUUAUUAUAUUAUACUAUAAAUAUAAUAUAAUAUUACAUUAUAUCACAUUAUAUCAUAAUACUAUGUUAUGUUAUAUCAAAUAAUUUAAUAUUAUAUUAAAUUAUUAUGCUAUAGUAUGCAAUGUUAUAGUACUAUAUUAUAAUAAUAUUAUAUUACAUUGCAGUAAUGUUAUACUAUAUCAUAUAUUUAUGUAUUAAUACAUAUUAUAUUUUAUUAUACUCUGUUGUAUGAUACUAUGUAAUGUCCGUUACGGUCAUUUUGUCAUACCAAAAGUACUUUCUCAGUUUGUUUACCAAACACAUGUUAAAGUGCCACAACACUUUAAAAAUAUAGUUACCAAACAAUAUACAACUUUUUAUAAAAGCUCUACUUCAGAUAGCUCUGCUUCCAAUAGCUCUACUUCCAAAAGCUCUACUGCCAACAACUCUUCCAAAUAGGGCCCAAGAUGAACUUGGAAUAGCCUACGCCUAAAAAUGGCAUAAGGUGGUUUUACUGGGCAUAUGGCCUAUUUCAAGUCUAUUCCCAUUUCGCAAAUACUAUUGGAGUUCCAAGUCCUGUGCCCCUGCCAAACACUACCUUGCUUUUAACCUUCUCAAUUCAUUAGCUGAGACACUUCAUGCAGUGAUAUUGGUUGCUUGUCCUGCACCCUAUUUCUCAUGGUUCAUACACAUUGGUAUGGAUUCACAAGAUCAUGUAUUUAGAACUCCUUAGCGCAUUAACGCACUAGUUUGAAAUCUGUGGUUUCAAGAAAACAACACUUUUUGUACCAGAUAAUGCAAAUUUUGCCUAUUAAAUGAAAAAAGAUUUAGAAACCAUUGAUUUGUCUCGGAAUUAUUAAAUGAUUUUAGUGGACAACUCUUGAACAAAGGAAGCAAAAAACAUUGUGCUUUCAAAUUCAGAAUAGUUCAGAUUUAGGACCUGAACUCAUGCUCUUUCUACAAAGCUUACAAAGUUGCUGAAUCAAAUACCAUAUGAUUGAUAUCUAUGCUUUAUUUUUUUACGAAAAAAUGUGUAACCUUGUUAUUUUGCUUGCAUUUUUUGUUAUUUUUAUCCAAAAUUCAUUUAUUGGAUCACAAGAUUCUUUUUAUAGUUUUGUAUAUUCUUUUAUAAUGGCUAAUUUGUUUAGGUUGUAGAGGAAGAGCUACAUAUAUUCACUUCAUCGUUGCUAAGCUUAUUAGCUGAAUUCAAUAUUCGACCCCCGAUGAUAAAUGCUUCCACAAUUGGUAGUGGUGCUAAGGUAACAAUCAUUUGGCUGCUAAUCUUCUAUAUUCAUCUCUCUCUCUCUCUCCUCCCUCUCCCCAUGGUCAUCAUGAGGGCAUGCCCUUAUUUGUUAAAAUAUGGUGCUUUCUUUGGUCCUUGCUAUACACAAGUAAAGCUGCCUAAGCUUGUUGUUGCUGCUCCUACUGGAAAAUUAUGCUUUGUAUUCACUUCCAUUUUUUUAAAUUUACAAUUAGCUGUGUUGCCCAAGGAGACAACCCAAUAGGGGGGUGAAUUGGGUUUUGAUUAAAUAUUGACCAAUUAAAAAUUAGGUGAGUGAUUAACUAAAUUUAUUGCAAGUGGAUUAGUUAGAUCACUAGAUGCAAUGAGUGAAGAGAGAGAAAGAGACAAAGACCAAUACAAACACAGAGAGGUUUAUAGUGGUUCGGAGCCAACACUUGCUCCUACGUCCACUCCCCAAGCCGCACUUGGGAGUUCACUGUAACCCUAGGAUUACAGCCGGUUGUUUUGCAAGCUCACAACCAAACUUGUUGUUUUCACGAGAUCACAACGAAGUCGGUCGGUUUUGACAGACUCACCGACUAGAACCAAACAAUUGUUUUUCCGGGGUGACAAUCAAACCCAGUUGAUUUUUCCGGUACACCAACCACAAUCUUACACCGUUGGUUUUAUCUUUGGCUGACCAACAAACCUUACAACCCUUGAUUCAAUCCUCUGAUUGAAUCAAGUACAAAAAGCAAGAGUUUGAAGUUCACAAGCAGAGCUUCUGAAAAGCAAAUAUGAAACAAUAUAAACAAGAUUGAGUUAGAAGCCCUCAAACAGAUUUGAGAUGAGAAAGUGGGGCUUCUCGAUUUCUGAAUUUCUUCUUGAAUGAGUCGGAGGAUGGGGAACAGUUGGUAGAGCUUUGAAUGCGAAGGAAGCCUUUUUGGUUUGAGUUGAAUGCACACUCCCUUCUUUUGCUUGGAUUCGCUCUUGAGAUGCUUUUGGUAGUUGAAAAUCUUUAAUGCUCAAAUGGAAUAACUCUCUUCUAUUCUACUACUGUUCACUUUGGCUAUUUAAGUGAUCCCCUUUGAAAAAUACCCGUUAGAGACUGAUUUGGAGCCGUUCUGACCCAUCUGCACAAUCUGACAAUGUAUCCGUUGGGAUCGGAGUCGACUCGCGCGAUCUGGAGUCGACUCGGCUGUUACUGGAGUCGACUCGUGCUAUACUGGAGACGACUCGACCACUGUUCCAAAUUUGAAUUAAAGUGCAUGCCUUGUCCUGAAGUCGACUCGGACCAAACUGGAGUCGACUCGCCAACAGCUGGAGACGACUCGGGCACUUAGGAGUCGGCUCGUUCUCAGGAAUCCAGAUAGCCCAUUUUCUGAUUUUCUUCCUCGAGUCGACUCGGGUUAACUUGGAGUCGACUCGGCUGACUUGAGAGGCGACUCGAGAUCUUCGGAAGACGUCUCGCUCUCAGAGACCGAAAAAUUGAUUCUCUGUCUUUUUGAACUGAUCUGCCUCGGAGUCGACUCGGGCCUCGCUGGAGUCGACUCGACUAAUCUUGGGAGUCGACUCUGGAUCCAGUGGAUACAACUCGAUAUCAGGUCCUCAAAAAUCAACUCUGCUGUUUUCACUGUCUUCUUCCGGGAGUCGACUCGGGACCAUCUGGAGUCGACUCGCCAAGCACCGGAGUCGACUCGCAACCUUUUGGAAUUGACUCGCUCUCAGGGUCGAAAAUCCAACGUUUUGUUUUCUGUCUGUUCUCAGUGGAGUCGACUCGGGACUAUCUGGAGUCAACUCGCCAAGCACCGGAGUCGACUCGCUCUCAGGGUUGAAAAAACGGUCUUUUGUCUUUCUAUCGGAGUCGACUCACUCUCAGUCGGAGUCGACUCGAGUGCGUGCCGGUUCCAGAUUUUGUGCCGGAGUCGACUUGGGAAAUCCAGGAGUCGACUCGAGUGCAGGGCACAUACAAGAAUGAUUCAAAUGAAGUCUGAACUUUAUCCAAAUGCUUUAAACUAUGUUUUACCCUGAAACACUCAAUUGAAUUCAUUGGAAUAACAAAAAGUAUGCUCAAGUGUUUUGGAUUCAUCAAAAUCAAUUAGAGAAACAAAUCAAUCACUCCACAAGCUGGAUCAUGUUUUAUGUAAUAUUAAUAUGCAGUCACCAUAUGAAAUGUUUUUAUGGAAAUUACACAAUACUGUGAUACAGUCAACCUGUACUCUUGAGAUAAAUGAUUUGUUUUCCCAUUUGAAAUGACCUUUUUCUGUUACUCUUUUUACAUUUCUAUCCAUUGUCUCAACUAGUCGCCUUCCUGCAUAGCUGUGUUUUGCUAGUUCAAUCCUUAAAUAGGACUGCUGAUUGCAUGCAUUGUGUCUAAUUAUGAUAGAGUUUAUUUUGUAAGGUAAAGUUAUCUAUUGUUGCUGUCUCCUUUAAAAUAUAAGUACCCAUUUAAUCUUUAUUACUUUCUUCCAUAAUUUGGUGUAGCUUUAUCUUUCACAUUUCAAAUAACUAUGACUUGUAAAAUUUUUGAUCCAAUUGUUUGUAAGACUAAAUUUUGUUUUAAUAAUUCUUGGAUUCAGUCUUUUGUAUCAUGAGUACAAUAAUUGAUGAUGAUUGUUGCACUUAGAUAUUUGACAUCUUUUUUGGUUGGUGUUUACAGCGUUUAUACCAUCAUAUGCACUGGAAGAUAAGAUCUGCGAAUGUAAGUCAGCCAUCUUGUGAUCUCCUCAAAGUCAUUCUUAAACAAGAUCACAGUUGUGAAAUAAAUAUGGAGUGUCUACAUCAUACCAGGAAAUUGAUUAUGAUGGGUUUAUUUAUAAUUGUGCCUUCAGAGAUCUGUAGCUUGUACCUUACUAUUUAAGCUGCUUUUAUUCAAAUGCAGUUUGGUCUACGGUUCCAUGUAGUUAACUAUAAUCUUUCCUGGUGGGUUUCCUUUUCUGUUAUUGAGUAAUUGGACAUUCUUGAAUAGUUUUACAUACACAUCGUGAUGUGUCAAGUUGCUAAGAGUAUCUGAGUGGGCGAGAAGGAUAUAUAUAGUGUCUUUAUUCACACCAAGCUAAAACUUGUCUCCAGAAUACCCACAAGAAAGUAUCUGUAUGUCUGUGUUACGUCUAUAUAUAUGUACUUGCAUGAAUAUAUGGACAUAUGCACAUACUUGAGGGAUUCUAGAUGCCUGUGUUAUAUAUAGUGCAUUUUGUGUAUUUGUCUUCAUAUCGUGUUAUAUUACUUGUGUGGUCCUCUCACCAAGCUGAAAAUGAUCUAUUGGAUACCAUGAAGAAAGUAUGUGAUACGUCUUUUUUAUGUAUAUAUGUAUGCAUUUGCAUGAGUACGAGGUUCUCUUCAGAUUGGUGAUAAUACCCCACAAAGUACUAACAUACUAUACAAAGACCAUACAUCGAAAUGCACUAUACACUAAAUAUUGGCUAUUAAAAAUCAAAGAAUAAUUCCAGACACCAUAGCAGGUUGCCAAGGUCCAUGACAUGAUAGAGGAGCGCUGAAAUUUCACAGCAACAGCCAGAGUUCUCUGAAUAUACGUCACGUAUGCUAAAAUGGAUUUACACUAUACUGAUGGUAAAAUUUGAAAAACACAGGCAAAAAUCAAUGAAUUGCUUAUUCCCUUUGUGAAAAUGUAAGGUGUAUUAUGAAAUUAAUAGUAUGCACCAUGGUCUGCCGUAUCGGUCGGUACGGGCCGGUACCGGAUCCUACCGGUACGGUAUAGCUACAUAUUUCGGUACCGAACUGUACCGGUCCGUACCGAUGCGUACCGGCCCGUACCGACCGGCACAGGCCCGAACCGACCAGUCCGUACCGGCUUCUAUUUUUUUUUGGCUUUUAGCCCCAUCAGUACAGUACCGGUUUGGCUCGGUUUGGUUCGGUACCGUAUCGGUACCGAUGCCCACCGGUACGUCGGUACAGUCGGUACCGCGUACUUUGGUCUGCACCUUGCUUUUCAAUAGCAUAUUUAAAAUUUGAAUUUGGAGAAUCCUAAUAUAAUGACAAGCUGAAACAUUGUCAUCAAGUAAGAUGGUCUUAAAGUAUAAUUUAUGUUAGAAAUAUAAGAAUAUAUGUUAUGGAUAUGCAAGGUCCAUUGCAUUUCUUUGUAUGUUGGUUUGCUGCUACUUUUAUUGCAAAUUGUUAAAUCAUUGACUAGUUACUCUAGUAUUGUAAUUGAUAGUGAUUAGAAUUUUCAAUCAAUUGAAUCAACUGCCAUUUUUCAUGCAGGCUGGUUUUGAUGAUAUAAACCAUCUGGUAGGAAAUCAACCUAGUAAUCUGACAGCCAGUUAUGGUCAUCAGCCCUCAAGUUCUUCAAAAAGUCAACUUUCUCAACCAUUCAUGGUAUUGUCUUCAUGGUGUACCGUUCUAUUGCUGUCAAAUUCUCUUGCACACUUGCAGACAUAACAAAGUGAUAUUCUAUGAUAGGGAUCAAAAGUGAACGAUUUUCCUCAAUACAAUUACUAUCCAAUGGAUAUGCACGUCGAAGCAAGAUCUAACCAGUCAAGAUUUAUUCGAGACUAUGACAUGCCAUUAUCCAAUAAUGACAAGCCAAGGUAGUUGCCAUCGACUGUUUUACAAGUUAGUAUUGUAGUGUUCGUCAGAUUUAGUAUACCAUCAGUAAAUGGAAAAUUUAAUGCCUAUUUACUUUUCUUCUUUUUUUUCCUCUUCUUUUCUUUUUAAUCAUUAAAGCGAUAAAUGAAUUUUAAAAACAUUGUGAUGCAUCUUCAUUUAUUUACCGCUUACCAAGUUGCUUUACUGUGGAUGCCCUUUUAUGUUACCCUUCUUUCUGUCUGUAAAUUAACAUGCAUGCUUACCUGAAAACAUGCCCGCCCAUACAACUACACAACUACACCUGUAUUGAUACAUAUAUGUGUGUUUUGAGUGCAUGCAUACAUAUGACAAAAUUUAUAAAUGCAUGCAUUCAUGUGUACAUUUGAUAGUCUGGAACAUACAUGUGAAUUUGCUUGGCUUGGACUUCAAAUGCUCAAUAAAUAGGUUAUUGCCCUUUCAACAAUGCUUUGGGUACUAUAGAACAUUCAGCAUGAAUCUCAAAUCAAAGCAAGUCCAUGGCAGUGCAUCUAAAUAUUAGACAUCGUUUUUACUACAUUAUUUUUUUUUAUUUUUGUUCCAUAGAAAGAGUUUUGGAACACAUUAAACACCAAACAAACUUGAAUAAUAUAUCCAGUUUCAACAUUUUGUAUAAGAUUCUUUUGGCUCUAUUCUGCCUCGCAAGUUCAAUUUAGUGAACCAAAUUUGCAAACUCCAACCUUCUACAAGUGCUGUAACCAACCCCUGAAUAUUUGCAAACAAAAUAGCAAUUUUGCUCAUAUUGAUUGGUAUUAGGAACUUGCAAAUUCACAAAUUACAUUAUCAAACAGGAAUAAGGUUUGGCUAGUGUAAUUAAUGGUGCAACAAAUGUAUCAAUUAUUUUGCAGUAUGUAUAUCCUUGUAAUAAUAACUUUUUUGGGCGUAAUACAUAAUAAAAAUCAUUAGGUGAUGCAAAAGAGUUAAGCAGCAAUAUCAGCAGUGUGAUUUAUUAGCUCUAGCAUCUUUACACGCUAUUAUUGUAUGUGAGACGUACUAUUAUGUCCCCAUAGUUUUUCUUCUCUAUUGCUUCAGACCACUUGAGCCGAUUUUGCAUUGCCUCUCAUGUUUUCCCCACUGAUCUGAGCAGGCUCUUUAUUAAGUUUGUUGUUGGGCCUCUCUUUGACCUACGAUCCCUACUCUUAAGUUUGUUGUUAGAACUCAUAUAUUUGCCUCAGUUAACUAGGAAUUGAUGGUGCUUAUGGUGGCAAAAAUUGAACCCACCUAAUAAUGCGACUCAACCUGACUAUGUUUGGGUGGGGUCUGAGGGUUUUUUCAGUUUGGAGUGGGUAUGGGUCAAAUUUUUUGACCAUAAUUUUAAGUGGCUCAAGUAUGUGUCAGAGCUUUGACCUGACUCGGGUCAUAAGGUUGUUCUAUUUGGGUUGAGACGGUUUUAAGUUGACUAGGAUUACCCUGUGUAAGAAUCUUAUGAGUGGUUGGUCUUUAUUUAGUAGUAGCUCUUUAUUUAGACUAUAUUAGAGGUCCAAUAGGUCAAAUUGGGUUGUGAGGAUCGAUCAUGUGUGGGUAUGGCUAGAAGAGUCUUGACCCGAUGCCAAUUUGGGUAGGGUAUGGCCUAGGUCUUGUAGGUUGUUGUCCUAACUUGACACAAGACUGACCUCAGCCAUUGCCACCCGUACUGGUGCCCUGCAUCCUGUAUCUUUGUCUACUUUGGCUUCAUGCACUUUUUAAGCAGUUUCGUCCCUGAUACAUUUUUUAUUAGUAUAGACUGAUGCUGCUUGGACUUCUCCUAUUUCUUGUAAAGGUGGCCAUAAAACCUCAUUCUUUUUUAUGAAUGGAAACACUUCUUAUUAAUUUGAAGUAUCAAGCAUGUCUUCUCUAUAAAACAUUGGCUGCCAAUUUUUCUACAUAUCGCUUUGAAGUUUUCAAGGCCCAUAGUUUUAAUUUUGGUUGCAACUACUUGUCUUUUGGCUUAUAUUCUUUCUUAUAUGGGAACUUGGCUUCUUCUUUCCAGUCUUCUUCACUGCAUUAGUAGAAUGAAGCUGUUGACCAUAGGUAUUUGUAUAGUCAUUGUUUUGCUUCUCCCUGCUUUCGUACUAAUUUUUAGCAGAGGUUGUUCAAUAGAUACCUCAUCAACCAUACAUCUUUUGAGGUUAUUGUAGGCAUUCCUGCUUUCUAUGUUUAUACUCUCAACCUUGUACACAAAGGCUGAAAAAGGCACAGGAUACUAUUUACAUAUUUGUGUGUGAUUGCAUGACAAACUUUUCUUUCACCUUCUCUGAUAUGCCCUUUGGUUGAUCUUGUCUUCAACCACCCCCCCCCCCUCCUUCUCCUAAAAGAUACGCAAUUUUCAUGCAUAGCCUCCUUGGAUGUGUGAUGGACCACGUUCAAGUGAGCCAGCCACGUCAAGCUCACCAGACAUUUCAUGGGCUGGUACGAGCUUGGCUUGAUUACUUUAUUGAGCCUGCUACCCGAGUUCAGGGCCAUAUGUAUUCAUUAAAGCCAAAAUUGAGGUGAUCAUGAAUGAUGUUCAUGGGAUUGUCAAGUACCUGAGGUAAAUCAAGCUAAACACAAACUCUCAUAAAUAGACCUCUCUACUGGAAGACCUAGCCUCCUUUUCUGAUUCGUUUCCUUAACAUUCAAUUAUGUCUAUAUUUAGAGAUCGAUCUUCAAAGUGCCUACCCUGGCUUCAGAUCUCAUCAUUUUUUUUCCUUGUAGAUGACAAACAUGAAUAAGAACCUGUCUUCAUAGGCUACGGUAGAGAAUAAUUUAUUCUAUGGAACAGCUUUUCAUUGGCUAACUUUAUGAGGAUUUCCUAUAGUUUGGUUGAUGUUCUUUAUAUACUUAUGAGCUAUGUCAUGCAGGGAGGUUGGAGGUACUUCUGCUCCUAAUUUUUUUGAAGAUAAUACUGGUGAGUCAUACAGGAAAUUGAUGACUGAUUCCCAAUUUUAUAUGCCUCCCCCACAUGACAAUCAAGCAUCCUCUGUUUCAGAAGGUAAUGCAAAGUUUAAAUUAACAUUACCAUGGAUGUUUAUAAUUCUUGAUUUAUAAUAAUUUUUUCUAGCAGGUGAGGCGUCUCUACCUGGUAUAGAAGGAUUUCAAAUUAUUGGUGAGGCAAAACCAGGAAACACAUUAAGAGCAUGUGGUUAUCCAACAAAUGGUACAACUCUUUGUAUCUUUCAGGUACUUGGCUUCCUAUUUUUUGAUUUUCACUUCUCAUCGUGGUUAUAGGAUGUUCAACUCCUUUUUCUUCAAUUUUAUUAUUGGAUUAUAAUAAGAUUUACAUUGUUUUUUAGUGGGUUCGUCAUCUUCAAGAUGGUACUAGGCAGUAUAUUGAAGGUAGGCAUUGGGGCGCUUUCAAUGUAUUUUGUGCAUUAGAUUUAUGUUGUUGCAUAACAAAUUUAAUGUCUCAAUUUACUCUAAUCAUCUUUCUAGUUUACCAUCUAAUCCAGGAGCCACUGUCCCGGAAUAUGUGGUAACUGCUGAUGAUGUUGACACACUUCUUGCUGUAGACUGCACACCCAUGGAUGACAAUGGUCGUCAGGUGUUCUACUCAUUAUUCUCAGAUAUUCUAGUAAUGCAUGGUAGAUUUUUUUUAUUACUCUAGAUACUUUCUCAUUUUAUGCCUAUGAUUCUUAUUAUGAUUCAGUUGUGUUUGUUGUCCAUAUCUUGAUUGUAUAUGAUGGCACUCAUGUAAGAUGGAUGGGAUUCUAAUACACGAGCAUGGGGUUUAUUAUAUUUUUAAUAAGGUGUCUUCACUUUCUGUUAUUUCGAGUGUGUAAAGACUUAAUGAAGUUUAAUAUUGUGCACUUGGUACAUACUUCUGACCGAAAACGGAUCGGAUGUCUAUGUAGCCAUAUCUAAUAACUAUGUUCUAUUUGGCAAAUAUGAAACGGAUAGGAAUAUUAAUCAGAUGCUAAAAUUUGUAUUCAGAUUUGUAUCGAACAGGUUCGGAUACAAACCGGAUAUUGACAAAUAUAGAUAUUAAUGCAGAUGUAAAUUGGGCAGUUAAAUUUUAUGGGUAAAAUAUUAUUUCACUUUAUAUUUUUAACUCAUUCCAAUUAUUUAAGCCUCCUAACUUAUCUUUUUUCUAAAACAAACAAAUGAUUGUACAAAAAGCACUAAAGAUAAAAUUGCUCCCUCCAAUUAAUCAGCUGACUUUUUUUAGUGGACCCUAUUAAUUCUAAUAAGUUACUUUGGAUUAAAAGACUGAUUAGUAAGGAUGCAAUCCACCAAAUCAAAGAUGUCACAGUUGGAAAGAAGAUUAGACCACAGAUAUGAUGUUAUCAUUUUUUUUUGAGUUUAUGAGAGCUAUAUGAAACUAAAUAGUUGCAAAUGGAAUCAAAUAUUUGGAUCCAGAUUGGAUAUUAAUGUGUCCUUAUACAUAUCCUCUGUUCUUUUAUUGUUUCAGAUACGGAUAUGGAUGUUUGUCGGAUGCUUUAAUUUGUGGCACUACACGGAUAGAUUCAGAUAUGGAAACGGAUCCAAAUGGAUAAUAUCUGAUCUAUUUUUAGUGCCCUAGAAUUACUACAUCAAUUGGCUGCAUAUUAUUCUGUGUAGUAGUCUGCUAUACUACUGUACUAAAAGUUUAAAUUUGUGUCUCUCAUUCUCUCUGAAACUUUUUUUUAUUAUUUUUGUUAUUAUUGAAAUGACCUGCAACCUGGGUGAUUCUCUUUUUUUUUAAAAAAAAAAAUGUUCCACUUGGAUUAAGUCAUUAUUUCCCAUCGAGGUGGUUAUGUAGGCAGGGCGAGGGUCGGGGAGUUAAAAAAAAGUUAGUUGGGGUGUUGGUCCUGUAUGUUUACAUUAUUUUUUGAUAAAUAAGAUAAACAUUGUGAUGAAAUCCAAAUUCAGUAUUACGAUGAUUGUUGAAGACAGUCGCAAUUUAGUGUGUCCUUUCUGUUUUGGAAUUUAAAUUUUGUGAUGAACCAAAGCAACACUAACAAAUAUACUAUAAAAGAUAUAAGCUCAAAUUAUAUUUAUAAAAAUGCUGUUGUUUUCUUAUUUACAGUAAAGCAUGGAAAGAGCUUUUGUUUAUUGCAUCCAAGAGGUAACAAUAGAGGAGAAUGAAAAAUAGGAAAAAGAACUGAAAAUUUUGAGUCUACUUAGGCAGUGUCACCUCUGCAAUUACAGUCGACUUCCCCUUUAUAAACUAGAUAUAAACAUUACAUUUGAAGCACCUUAUAAUUAUCUUUGAUAGUUUAGCUGAAAAGAAGUAAAUCUUUUUCUCAAGAAAAUUAAAGAAAGGUUAGAAACAAAUAAAUCAUGAUUGUGAUAAGACCAAAGCUUCAGAUAAACAUAAUUGUACCCAAAAAACAUAAAAGAUGACAAAAACAUAUUUGAAAAAGAUUGCAAAUGAUUUGACUCAUUGGAGGGGAUUUAUAUAGAUGAUGAGCAGCAAGGUUAAUUGGGCUCUCAGUCCAAUAAAGAACAUUUGGAACUAGAGAGGAGGCUUUUAGUAAUAUUUGGAGCUACAGAGAAGGAGGCUUUUAGGUGAACAUUUAAGAGUGAUGAACCAAAGAGUUUAUAAUAAAGAGAGAUCAAGUGGUCUUUUGUGGAAAAACAUCAAUUGGUGAAAAAGGAAAGCUUAAGAAAUAAGAAGCUUUAUUACAGGUUUUUAAAGCGAUUCAGUUGAGGGCUCUUUUAGUUAGGGUUAGUAGAAAUACUUAAAAGGCAAGGCACUGCAUUAUUUGAAGAAAUUUUACGGGCAUGGCUAAGGGGUCGAUGAAUAGGGUAAUUAUGAAACAAGUGUAAUCUUGUUUUGAUAAUUUAAUCUGAGGCAUUUUUGACUGGAUAUCAAUAAUAUAUCCUUUGUAAAAAAAAGAAAGAGGCCAAUUAAUGGUGUGCUUUUUUCGUAUUUUCUUCUUCAGUGAGUGUUUGUUAAUGUAAUAAUACAUGCCACUUCUGUGUUCUGUAUCUAAUAUUACCAUAUCCUAUCAUUACAUCGCCUACUACUUUUGUAUCCCAUCUUGGAUCUUUUUAUACAGUGAGUCUCAUAAACAUCCUGUACUGGUGUGUGCUGUGGGUUUUUACUUGUACAUUUCUUUUCACUAUUAUAUUACAGCAACACACUAUAAUAUCACAGCAGUGUUGCAUUUUUUUUUAACAUUAUAAUUCUGAAAGCCACAUCAAAGAGUGCAUUGCAUUUAGCAAUGAUUUUAAUUUUUUAAUCAUUGUUUUUUCAUGAUCGUGUAUGCCACUAGGUGCUUUUUGUUCCGUGUUAUUUACUGCCACUCUUCCCACUUGAAAUACAUCUGGUGGUACUGUAAGCUGUUGGCUUUCAUGUAUUGUACUUCUAUGGUUCAACAACAAAUUUAUGGUUCCACAGACAAGACUCCUGCCAGGUUAGAGCUGGAUUUGAUAAAAUUUGGUUCCACUAACCUAGCAUGCUAUUUUUUCCCACUGCAACCCAUUAUGGAAAAGAUAUCUUUCUUUCUUCUUUUUUUUCAAUUUUACGUAUAAGAGGGUAUCAAAAUGUUUACUUACAUCUCUAUAUUUUCCUCUUUUUUAGCAUCAUCAUUAGAUGAUUGAUCCUCUGUCUAGACAUUAGACAGUAUGGUUAUGCACCGGGAUUAGGAGUUGAAUGUGGUAAAAUCCUCCAUCUUGUACUACCAUUGGCACAAUCAUCAUGAGUUUUGUAAUAAUCUUUAUAUACUCGUGUUGUCUUGAGUUGGUUGUACUAGCCAGUGUCCUAUACUCCUAUUAUUGUUUUUUCAAUUCAAUAUAUCAUGGUAAUUUCAUGGAUUUUAGUGCCAAUGAGCAUGAUGCAGCAUGAGAUGAUAUGUACCAGGCUAGUGCCUCCACUGACACUGGAGCUAUGUGCCGUUUCUUGGCAUGCUGCCCUGCCAGUGGAUGCCAAGCACUCUGGACUGUCGAGGAAUGUCAUGGCAGGGCACUGCAUUCAGUUCUAGGACGACACACAAUUGGCACGUGACACUAAAUCCUUCCGUAAUCAUAUGCCAAAGUGGCAGUACUCAUGUAAAUUUCAGAGCAUAGAGAAAUAGUGAGUUGGAAAACCUAGGGGUGGUUGAGAGCGUAUUAAUGAAGCAGGAUAUUUUCUUUUUCCUUAAGGGUGCUAAUGAACGAAGCCUAGCAGUAAGUUUCUCAGGUUCCGCUCAUCAAAAAAAGGUAUUCAAGCUUCUAUUUACUUUCGCAAGCCUGAAGUGUCCAGGUUUGAUUAGCUUAUGGAUCUAGCUUUGAAAAAGUGUUUAAGCUUGGGUUGUUUCCUUGCUGAAUAAGCUCAACUAAGCUUGUCAUUAAUCGACUCUCAGCUGUUCACGAACAGCUUUAUUUACCCUUAUUCAGAAACACAUAAAGAAAGUAUAUUCAAAGAGAAAAUAAGCCAAUUGGUGCUAUGAAGUAGCUGAAGUUUCAUAUGCACAUGCCAUAAAACAAUAUUAGCUGUAGUAAAUUGAUCAAACAGGUCUUCGAGUAUAUAUCUUCCAAACAAAUUUGUUUGUACCAUGGUAAGCCAGUCACUUCUUCCAGCUGCGGAACUAGUUAUGUCUUUGCUUGUGUUUGCAAUGAAAUGCAUCAGGUUGCCGUGAUAUGCUUAAUCUCUUCUUGUUUAACCAAACUUCAUAUUUUUUUUGCAUUUUUUUUCUAUAGCAAUGUUUAUCUCUCCUACAGUAUUACAUUUCGAAUUAUCUUCAAAAUCAUGUUAUGAAAUGUUUCAUCAUAUCCUGAGUCACUUAUAUCCUUUAUAUAGGGGGAAUUGGUGAGGCAGUUCGCCAACAAUCAAAACAAAAUAACAUGUGGUGAGUUACUAUUGUGCUUGGACUGCAUAAAUCUUUAUCUGCUGUCAUGAAGCUAUUCUAGACCUGGAAAAUUUAGAUUGUGGUUUUCCCCUUUUCUAUUUGCUUAUAUUUCUACCUAUUUGUGGUACGUGUGUAUGAUAAGCUUCAUCCCACUUAUAACAUCUGCUCUUCCAGUCCCCAUUACAUUUGAAUGAAGAACUGAAGGAUCCUAAUUUACAAGAAAGAAUCAACUAUAAGAAAUGCCAACGAAUUCAAUUUCUGAGAUAAGAAAUCCAACAAAUCCAGUAUCUUUGAUGUUCUUUUCUACCUUAACAAAAGAAAGAAGUAUAUGACAUAUUCAAGAAUUUUGGGUGCAACAUGCAGGUUGCUUCCUCUUAAAACAUAUGGAAUUUUUGCUAUAUUAAUGUUGUAUAUAUACAAACAUGCUGCUAAUAUAAGAUUGCUCUCUUAUUUUCUUUGCAUACUCAGUUAUAGAUGAUUAGUUGGACUGCACAUUUAACAUUAAACUUUUGAUAAAAGACUUGAUGUUUCCAAAAUCAGUAGUGGGCAAUACAAAUCAAAGAUCCAUACAAUUUGUUAUGAUCUACACUUAUAAAAGCACCUAAAGAUAAAAAUUGUAUUGGAAUCUCCAACUAUGCUACAAGCGAGUGCAAAAAAUGGACAGUGCCUACUGUAGUAGUGUUCUAAGGUACAUGAAAUGGUAUUUAUAUUGCAAAUAUAAAUAUUGAUCAUGAUCUGCACAUUUUAAAACAUUUAUAGAUUAAAUGGUUUUUGAUGCUUGGAUCAUAGCAAAACAUGGUCUUGUAUCAUUAAAAUCAUUCAGUUUUGCACUUAGUUGAAGCAUAGGUUAGAUGCUAAUAAAACAUGUAACUUUUGUUUUCUAGGCCUUUUUAGUGUUGUACAUCAUGAUCAAUGGUGCGGAUCUCCAAUUUGGAUGCCUCAUCAUUGAUUUUGAAUCAUCAUCUCUUUAAUCAAAUUUUAGCUCUUUAAGUAUGCAGUCCAAAUCAAAGUAUGCCAUACCAUACUGAACCGAACAAUAUGGGGUGUAUUGUACUAUACCAGCACCGAAUUGGUACACAACAUGGGGCCCAAUAGCGAGACAGCGUACCUUGGUCUAAAUCAUAGAGGAUUAUUGAUUUGUGUGAUUUUUGCUUAAUUAUUUCAAUAUGCAAUAAGUAUGUUGAAUUUUACUUAUUAUUGUAGAUUCAUAGUAUGCACAUUAAUGCAUGCAUAAAAUCAAAAUAUUUAUAUAGUGUGUUAUAUCCCUUUUUUGGAUUUAUGGUAAUUCAAACACCCCAUAAUGGUGUCGGACAUUAAUUCUGUAUUAUUAUUGAGCAACAGAACAUUGAUUUACUAAUUGCACCAUUAUGUUUGUUUUUCAUGCUGGUGUAAUGCUAACUGCAACAUUUCUUUAUGAGACAUGAUGUUUCUUAUUUUAUUUUAAAUUAAUGUAUUUAUUAUGGAUGAAGCUUAAAGCAUUCUACAUUCGAGGCAGCAUCAUGGAUGCUUGAGAAAAUUUAACCCAUUCGUCACUUUUUGGACAUUAUUUUUCUGAAUUAUAGUUUCACAAUUUAUUUUAUUUUAGACUAAUGUAUUUUAUUGUGGAUGAAGCUUAAAGCAUUCCACAUCAAGGUUUGUCGUACCGGUACCGGACUCCAUACCGGUGCCACACUAACAUAGUUAUGGUACGGUACGGAGUUUUUUGGGCGUAUCGAGGGUCGGUAUGCCACCGGUACCGGUACUGAACCGGUAUGGUACAGUAUGCCUGGUACCGUCCAGUAUGGUACGGCAUACCAUAUUCCACAUUCAAGGCAACAUCUUGGAUGUUUGAAUAAAUUUUAACCAGUUCUUCACUUGAAUGGACGUUAUGUUGUUUUUUGAUUUUGAGUUCCAUGUCUUGAAUACCAUUUCACUAGCUUGACCUUGUCUAGUUAUCUUUCAGUACGCUUUGAAAUCUCAAAGCAAAGUAAAUAAUCAAACCAUUACACAAACCACAUACGAACUAAUCAAAUGUCAACAUCAUAGGUAAAUAGAUUAGAUAAUCACAUAUACUAGUUAUUCUACAGACUUGACAUCUGCAGUAAGAUAUAAAAUUAAGCCACAAACAUAGCUUAGGAUCUUAAGCUUUUGCUCCUGUUUACUUCGAAAUGGCCAUCUAAAUCUGACUGAUAUUUUGCAGAUCAAGACAUGCAGCAAGAAAUUGAAGGCUAUAUCUCUUCAGGGAAAGCUCAAUUUAACGUGUUAUUGUUGGUGGGUCAAAUUUCUUGUGCUUUUGAUGCCAUAUGCAAAGUAGCUUCGACACCAUGCGACAAUAUUUAAGUGCUGAAAUACGAAAGCAUUGCAAGCACGGUUUGCUGUACCGGUCAGUACAUACCGUACUGGUAUCGAACCGAUAUAUAGUCUCGUAUUGUACCGACACUUGGUACACCUCACCAUCUCGUACCAUACCGCAUACCGACACUAUAAUAGGAUGGUACUAGUACAUGAUUCGGUACAAAGAUGGUGAACCUUGAUUGCAAGUUUUCUUUUUUGUGUUUAUUUUGUGUUUGCAUAGUUAUACUUACAGCAUGACAUAAUGGCCCGAUGAGGCUGAAUCUCAAACUUUUAGUAACUAGUACUACCAUUUGGUACUACCUCUUGAAUUUUGAGGAUUAAAAGAUAGUCAUUUAGUUUCACAACUAAGUACAUAAAGGAUAUGUAUAAACUGUAAACUCGUAUUUUUUAAUAAGACAUGGGUGGUGUCCACUGUCCAGUAGCUACUCUAUUUGCCAAAAGCAUGACAAAGGCUGGAGAAGUGCUCUAAGGCAUAUCUUGCGUGUUUGCCCAUUGCCAAGGCAUACAAUUUUGCACAUGUGGUGGUCAAAGAGUAGCUUAUUAGCAUUGAUGCUGUCAAUAAUAUGAGAUUGAUGUAAUGUUAGGUUGUGCUGCACAAGAAUGUCCCUAAAUCCAUGCUGUACAAAUCAUGGCCUUGGUACUUAUUUUAAAAAGUGAUUUGGUGGAAACUCUGAUAGUUGCAUACAUUACAAUAGCUAAGGUUCCAUAGAAACAUAGUAUAUGUUUCAGGUGAUUAAUUAGUUUGAAGGAGCAUGUUGUUUGGGUUGUUCCUCUACUUUUGAUUUUAACUAGACCUGCACUAAAAGGUCCAAGCCGCCAUAUACAUUACUUAUGGUUGAUCCUUAUGAUGGUUAUCUUUCCUUUGAGAGACCUUCUGACUCUGUAAUUGUUAAAUUGGAACUACAAGAACAGAUAUUAACUCUAUCUCCUUUUCCCUCCCUCCCUUCCUCACUCCCUCUCUCCCUCCCACUCCUCUUUCUUUCAUAUCCUCUUGUCUUCAUUAUUUGCUCUUGUUUUGAUAUAUGAAACCUUGCAUAAGAUUUUUAAAAUCUUUCACCAUGGUUCGACUUGUUAUAAAAUCUUGUCUUCUAACCAACCAUUCCCUGAGAGCCAAAAGGCUUCUCUUCUUUCAUAAUGGGGUAACUAGGCAUAUAUUAGUGAAUUUGCAUUUGCUUACCUAUCAAGUUGAUGCGCUUUGUUUGUAUAUGCUUCUCUUUUGUUAAAAUGAACUUGUGGAAGCAAGGUUCAGAAGCUUGGUUUUGAUUUAGGGCAAGUCAAGUGAGUUUUAGUUUCAAGACUUUGGCCAUUUUUGUUCUUUAGCAGUUUCAGUCAAAAAAGAACAAAAGGUUGCUGAAAAAUCAACAAAUUAGGAAAACAUAAGAUAAUGAAGGAUAAAUAAGUUGAGAAAACAAGUAAGAAAUUUUUUAAAUUAUAUUAUAUUGUUUAGGGCUGUCCAUAAUGUUGCUUAGGGUUUCAUGCUGGAAAGUUUUAUGCAUAUAUGUAUGAGAUGCAUGCGUAUAACAUUUUUCAAAAAGAAAAGAGUUUAUCAUCAUGCUUCAUUAUCCUUUAUAUUCUAAUACAUCGACAUAUUAGAUGAUGAUGUGAAUUGGGGCUUGCCCCAUUUGUUACAACCCUCUGCUCAGCAACCAGAGGUUCAAUUCUUGGGUGGUGCUUUCCUGAAAUCUGGACUUGGAUAAUUAUAAUGAACACGGGUUUCCCUCCCUCUCUCUCAGAAGAAAAGGAUGACAAUUGAACACAAUAAAUUUCAAUCUUGCAUGAGUUUUAGAUAAGCCAAGUCUAUGUCAAGACAUUUACUUUUUCUAAAUUUCUUUGGGACCCAAUAUCAUGAUGCUUCCAAAUAUUCAGUAAACUGGCAAAGUUGUAGCGUAAUUUUGGGAAAGAGCUCCCCGUAUUUGGAAAAAAAUGAGGAAAUGAGAAAAUGUUAGCUUGUAAUAGUACUAGCAAUAAAUUUGGCCAAUAAGAUGUUUUUAGCUGAAAAUCCGAAAUGGACCCCACUUUCAGCUGAAACUUCAAAUCAUGCUCCCUAUAACAUGGCUUCAACAUUGGAUUGAUGCCAUGCAAAUUCAAACUAUUAGAGAGAACUUUUCAAUGUACAGAUCAACAAUAAGGAAGGUGUGUCCUUGAAUAUGUUGACAGUUUGCAUAUUUUUGAUCCUCAAUCUAGUGUAAAACAUGCAGAUACACGUGAGAACUGAGCACAAGUGGAAGAACAUCAAACUUGAAACUUUCUGCUUGGAAUGGAGCCCUAUACAGUUUGUGCCUUGUUGAGUUGAUUCAAUCAUGUAAUAAAAGAAUACUAAAAAGUGGUUGCUGUUGUCAUUCUUCACAGCAAUUGGCAGCAUGUCCAGUCUAAGAUGGAGGACACAAAAUAUGCUGAAACUUGACAUCUCAGAAAGCACAAUGUUCGAAUAAUAAUUAUCUUCAUCAUUCACCUGGUCAUUUUGUCAUGUAAGGUAUGAGUAAAAAUGGGAUUUGAUUUAUAUGUAGCAGUGUGAAAUGGCCUUCAUAGCAAUCGUAGGAGUAUUUCCAUAAGAUGUCAUUGUACUUAAGAUAAUGUGCCUUAACCAAUAAUAAAUAAAAUAUUGUCAAGGGUCUGUUUAGCUGGAAGCCUGGAAGUCAUUCACAUUGAGUUGAAUAUCUAUAGCUACUAGUACAAACUUGAGAAAGCUAAAAGGUGCAAGGUUGUGAGAGUGGGAGUUGGAACAAUUUUUUUUCACUUUCAUGCGCCAUUGAAAUUUUAGAAGCUGUACUUUUUUAGGAAUUCCCUUUGCAAGAAAAUAACUAACUUUCGAGCAUCCGACAGUGCUCAAGACAUUCAACACCAAAAUCUGACACUUCUCCAGAGAUAUUUUUGUCUGGUUGUCUGAGGAGAUCAUGGAAGAUGAAUAGCUUCAAACCUCAAAUGGAGAUGUUGUCUAGCCAAUCACCUCCAAUCACCAUGAGAGCUUCCAGCCUUCUGUAUUAUGAUUAAGUUGGGCUCUAAUUCCUGCUUUUGUAGGAGCAAAGUCCAAGAGAAUUGCAUUGCCCCACAAUUGAGGGAAGUAAUUUCAUGAGUUAUGUACAAGAUCCAAUAGUCGCUCGGUAAUUAGCAUAUCACAAAAGACCAAUGAUUGCAAAAGUAGUUUGUAUAACUAAUAUACAAUAAAAUCAUUUUUAUAGACACUAAAUAUAGAUAUCUAUUAUCAUCACAAAUAUUUUCCCUUGUGCUUGUAAGACUAUAUAUUGCACAUCAUGUCCCUGCUGUGCUUCUUACGUUUUUUAAUUUUAAAAGAUUAAAGAUCGUAUGGAAUUUUGUCAUGUUCAACAUUUAUUCUUUACAUUCCUGAAUUGUUACAUCAAUCAUUCUUUAGAUGGAUUCAUCCGAGGAUUGGGAACCAACAACUUUGACUUUGAAAAGAUCUAGCUAUCAGAUUAAGGUAUCUCGUACAGAAGCAGUGGUAGUGGAAGAAAAAUAUUCGCCUAACUUAUAUGUAAGGUUUUCUUUACCUGCAAUGUUCAUUUGUCCUGUCAAUUUCCAUAUUCUUGUGAUGCCUUUUUGUGACUUUGCGGUUUUCACAGAUCAAAGUUCCUUGUGGACACUCAACCCAGUUUGUGUUAAUUUCUUUUGAUGGAGCUAACCUACCAUUCUGCACGGAUGGGAUGUCUCAGCCAUAUUACUUUGAAAAUGAUGUUCGGUAAUUCAUUUCAUGCAAGUUUCUUUUAAAUCAUUUUUAGGCCCAUUUCUUACUAUUGGACUACAUCUAGUUAGUUAAUAAUAUUUAAACAAUUUAUGGUUUCCUUCUGCAAAUACACUAUAAAUUGGAGGAAAGAGAACAGUUUUUACUAGCAUAAUAUUGUCCUCUGCACUAUGACUUGUAUGAAAUUAUUCAGUUAUUCAUAACACAAAACAAAGAUGACAAAAUUCCUGCUAGAUCAAUUCGUAAUAAAAUUUAUUGGCUACAGUGCUUAUUUAUAUGAAAGUUGGAGUAAGGGUCCACAAGUUGAAAUUUUACUUGAAAGAAAAUUAACCUAAAAGUGCAAAUCAAAUCAGGUUAAUUAUGCAGAGAACUGUUAAAAAUAAAACUCUUCACCAGGUGUGAAUAGCAUGCUCUUAAUUUAUUUUUCUUCUGAAGUGGUGAAAUGUUCAUGCUAGCACCUUCUUCGUACAGAUUUCAUGUUAUAUAUAGGCCUAUGAGGUUCAGUCUGAUAUAAAACUUGUUUGAUUUUUCAUAACUGCGUGAAAUUUAUAUCGAGAUAUUGAUAUAAGCAACCAAAAUAAAAUUCUAAUGAGCUUGAUUAAUAAUCUGUCAGUUACUAUCCUGUAGAGUAUAACCAAAUAUUAUCUGAAUUGAUGUUGUAGAUUGCGGGACAUUAUCGUGAUGACCAUGAGAUAUUUCCAGUCUAAGGUAUGCCUCCUUGUAGCUAAACCUGCUAUCAUAUUUGUAUUAAGCAACGAAGGUUUUUACGUGAAACAAACUCUUGAAUGCAUCUAGCAACUAUAUAUCUUCCAUAUGUUGCAUAAAACAGGCAUCUUUUUUGUCUGUUUUAGAUAUUGGAAUAAACUAUAAGGUGUGAGGGGCUGCAGAGACAUGGGGAGUGGAAAACUCAUAACCUGUCUACGUGAUCCACAUAAUACCCCAAUUCGUCUCCUAAAGUGCCCAGGUCUGGUUGCAUAGUUGUGCACUCACUACGGACCUUUUAUUAUACUUGAUUUAUUAUAAGUUUCUUAGAUGCCAUGCGUGCAUUAAAUUCUUUGGAGAAAUAGAUGGUUAUAUGGUAUGGAAAUACAAAGUAGCUGUCAUAUAUAUGGUUUUAGUAUAGGGUAUGAUGAAAAAGUAGAUUCAGGCAAAGAUGACAAUCAGAGCAAUAAUAUUGAUGGGCAUGUGGCCUGACCAUUCUCUGGUCCAUGUAGCUUCCAGAUUCAUGGAAUUAGUGAAUGAAGGUACUGUUAAACAUUUCUUUUCCUUUCAAUCUAAAGGAACGUUGUUUCUUUCAUCUUUAUGUUGAGUUUUGAUUGGUUCUACCUUUAUAGCAGUGUUCACCUUAAUUGAACUUUAUUUUUCCAUUUAGUGGUGUUUAUCCGGGCUGAUUCUUCGAUGGUGAAAUUUGGAAUCCAAGUAAUUCAGAAGGCAAUAGGUAGUGGGCCAUAAAUCUAUCGUCCAUGGAUAGAACAUGUGCUUGAUUAUGCAGACUCGUUGCCAGAAUACUAAAAUUUUUGCAAUCCAUGACCAAUAUGGGCAAAAUAGGAUGGGUAGCCAGGCAAUCCUAAACAAAAGAGAGAUUUUUCUAACUUCAUGGGUGAACGGUGGUAAGUGGAUAAGAGUAACUAAUAUGGGCAAAAUAGGAUAAGUACACUAGAAUUUCUUCUUGCAGAUAUACUGUUCCCAUGAGCCUUAGGCUGGAAGGCUUCAUUCGGUUGGGGGUAAUUUGGCAUGGAAAAAUAAAUCUCAUGUCAAAUUACCAUGUUUAGUACAAAAAAUGAUGAGCAAGAUGGUAAAAUAAAUGAUGAAUCACACACCUAUUUUAUUGAGAAAGAAGGUAAAAGAAAUACCACAAAGAGGAUGGUAUUUUUUUCCGCACUGGAUUAUUAAGUGGAGAUAAUCUCAAAUUAUUAUUGCUGGAUAGAAAUGCCCUUGCUUUUUUUGUUGAAACCCACGAAUGCCCUCUUUUAAGGCAUGUUUGGAUGAUUGGGCUGAAAAAUCCUAUGAGAUUCGUAGGUUGGAUCAAUACAACUAGCAAAAUUAUAGAAUUACAUGUUGGAUUAGGAUUUUCAGCCCGAUCAUCCAAACAGUCCCUUAAUAUUGUCAAUCCCACAAUAAUCUCAACUCAAAAUAUAACACCAGCUGAUUUAAUGACUUAAUUUUUUUGCAAAUUAAUCAAUUAGCAGUGUGGUUGCUUUUAAAUAUAUUUACUUAAUAAUAAAUAUAUUAUCUAAUAUAUGUAUAAUUAAUUUAAAAAUAUUUAUUAACUCAUAUAAAUAUUUUCAAUAUUCGAAAUGAUCCGUAUUUAUAGCCUUCAUGUAAGUGGGCCAUAAAUGCCCAAAAAAUGGAUUGAAGGAAAAAAGUCAUUACUUGAAUUUUUAAUUCAAGGGCAUUAUUGAAAAUUUAGAAAUAUUUUCCUAUAAGAUUACCUCCAAACAAACAUAGUAAUCUUUUUAUGGUGCCGUUUUUUGGAGUAAUUUUUUCACCAAUAAAACAUGAUAAAAUUUAUUUUUUCCCACAAUCAUUUUUCCAAAUAAAUGAUUUUUAGGAAUUGUCAGAUUGCCCGAUAAUCUAACAUACCCUGACCAAAUGAACACGGGGAUUAUGUUUAUUCAGCAAUCUUAAUUAUCCAAGUGUUCAUGAUAGAUAAACAAAAUCAGUUUCCAGUUGGACUUUUCCAAAUUCAUGAACAAAGUUGAUGGAUUAUGAUUUUGUUAGCUGUGCAAUUUCAGAGAACAUAUUUACUGAAUGCUUUAGGAGCAAAACUCCUGCAAAUUAAGUUCAGGUUCAGGUAUUAUAGUCUUAAGAAAUGAAUGUCACUUCUGCUGAACUAUUCUACUGCAUUGGCAUUCAGAAGUGUCAAUUUCUAAGUUACCUAAAGUUCAGUUUCUUUUAUGUAAUAUUUUGGUCAUAAAGUUCUUUUUUUUUUUUGACAUGGCUCAAAAAAUGUUUUGGCAAGUUGUGAAGUUGACUAUACUUGGCUGCUACACCAAUUUCCACAGCACAGCACAUUAUUACUGUCCUCAGAAUUUUGGGGUUCAGGUGGAAACUGUAGAAGUACAACGAUUCAUCCCAUCUUUAAUUUCAUGGAAGCAUUCACUACCUAUUUGACAUAUGGAAAAUUAGUUAUCCGUGCCAAUAGCUCUUACCUCAGCUGGUUGGCACCCAACUGUAAACAACCACCAUAUUGCUCAAAAAAGAAUAUUUAUCCAUGUUCAACUAAAACCCCAUUUUGUAUCUGUACAACUGAAGUGAGAUAAAACUAGAGCAGGAUUUUAUACUCAUUAUAUCUUAAGAUGUUAGCAUUAUUACUGUUAUUUAUACUUUGUUGUCCAGCAAUUAGUUGAUUCUGAUUGGGUUUCGUGCAGGCUUUAGAUGGUAAAAAGAAAGGCAAGAUUUAGGCAUCAUCAUCAAUUUUGAAAGUUUUGGAGAAGCUCAGUGAUUUUUUAUAGAUAUUUUAAUCACAAAGGACAUAUUUUGUAUUGCAAUGAUGCGUACAUGUAAAUGAAUAUUCUCUCAUAGUUAGUAUUGUAUAUGAAAACAAUAAUUCCGAGUUCUUCAAAGAACUGUGUAUCAUGAACAUGUAUCUUAAUAGUGGCAAUUGUUCGAUCUUUUGUAUUCAAUAAAAUUUGUGAUCGUCAUCCUUGAAUGGGGCAAACUUUUGCAUUGAUGAGUUUUAACAAUUCCUUAAAAUAUAGCAUGUGAUCGAACAUCCAGGCCUAGAAGUGGAACCAUCCCAUGCUAAUUUAUAAACAUGAAAAGGUUUUUUGUUUAUUUUGGCAUUAUUUUAUGCCUGAAUGACCUGCAUGGAACGGUUGGCCGUGUCGUUUUAGACAGCUUUUGUAGGCACCAGUCUCAAAUCUCUGUUGGCACGUCUCUUUAGGGACCUACUCUUAGUUUAAUGCGAUCCAUAUAUAUAUAUAUAUAUGUAUAUGUAUGUAUAUUGUAAAAAAAACUGACCCUUAGAACAUGUGAGGUGCUACCUCACGGAGGUUUGUGGAAGUAAUUCGUAAGGAAACUGACCGAGCCGCGUUGCCCUACAAUAGCUUGCUAGAGAGCUUUGAAUUACGCUUUUUCCUGGCAAGAGUUACUGUCUGUGCAGUGUUUACAAGAUUCAUUCGACAAUCCGAAAGUUUUAAGCAACAUUUUCCAUCUAUAAUUGAAGGGAAUUAUUUUUAACUCUCUCCCCUUAUGGGGUACAAAAAGCCUCGUGCCGAGUGAUGUCAAGUGAUUGAAAUCUUACCUCUAAUAGGAGACUGCCAUGGAUGAAGAAAACCAAGCGGAAUGGAACCCAUAAAACACUUUAAAAAAAAAAAGAGUAUUAGUGUAUAUUCUUUUUCCUUAUAUCGAAAGGCGACCGGAGGUUGAGGCUGGUGAUAGCGAGCCCGUCCGACUCUCUGGAGACAGCCAUAUACGCGGCCCAGGGUCACCUGAGGUAACAGCACUCCCAUGGGGGGUGGGGUGGGGGCGCCUGGAUAUAUGAAGGGGCCAACAUCCCUAGCUACUCGGUCUCCCCCACUCUCUCAAGCCUCCUACUGCAAAGAGGAGGAGGAGCACCGUGAACUAAAAUCCAGCAGCGUCGCUUCUCCCUCAUCUUCUUCUAGUAAUGAUGGGUAACAGCACCAACAUGGUGUGGAGCACCGUCAACUUCUGGACUACGCAGAUAAUUGGUGAUACAGAGAGGUACUCUCAGACGUCCCAUUCUUAAUAGCCGAUCAUGUCUUGUAUCAUGUUGUUUGUAGUGCUGAACCUUAAUCUGGUGCAAUGUUGAUCUUUAUGUUUCUCUUUAUCUAUUAGACUAUAUGCUAGCAAGGCAAAAAAAUUAAUCUCUCAGUGCACCUAUAAUGUUUAUUCUCCCAGUGCACCUAUAAUGUUUAUGUUUGAUGAAUUAAUCCAUACUUGACCUUAUGCAGUGGUUUUGGGAACCAAGGCUGUUUCAGAGUUUAUAGCACCAGUCUCUUCAGCAUGUUAGCUAAUGAUUCCUCUCGAAUUUUUGGAGUAGGAAUCGAAAUCUUUUGUAGAGUUAUAAACUGUGUCUACCAACUCCAAGAUCCUGCCUUCUUUCUCUGUGCUAUUGCUUGUUUGUUUUUUUUUUUGUGUGUGUGUUAGCAUAUUGUAUAUUUGUCAUUGGUAAGAUGCCAUUUGAGAUAACGCGAUUCUUGUAAAUUCUAUUUAUGAGGAAUUUUUUGAUCAUUGAUGGCAUUAUUUGAGUUUCAUUUGGUCUUGAAGCAACCGAAGCAUUUCGGCUUGGUGUUUCAGCAGAGCUCUCAACAGUUUCCGAUAGGAUCAUUUGAGGCUGUGUUGAAAGUACUCAAUUUUUUUCUUUGGCGCAUGCGAGUAAUUGUUUAUUAUAUGUCUGUUUAUAUUGGACAAAACAAAUGUCUAACAAGAUGCAGCUAGGAGUUGUCUUCUGGCAUGUGGGUAGGAUUUUAUAUUUAGUUGAUUUAUAGCUCACCAUUCAGGAGAGGUUCUAUGGACUGAGCUAAAUUCUGUUUCUUUUUCUUUAUGUCGCCUUCUUUCUUUUAGUGCUGAAGGUAGUGUUUAUGCGACCUCAUCCAUCUUUACAUUUUUAACUCAGUAGACAAGCGCACACCUAUACUUCGUCCACCUUGUACUAGUUUUCAGAAACUAUUCAUCUAUCUCCCCUUUCUUGCAUGUAAUUUUCUUAUUGACUCAGAAGUUUGCUAUGGCUGUUCUGUGGCCAUUUGAUUUUGUAUCAAGAUAUCCCUGAUUUUUGUGUCAAUAAAAAUUGCACUCCUGAUUAUUUAUUUACUUAUUUAUUUUCUGUGAAAAUUUCUUCCCUUAAGCUAAGUCUGUCAUCAUCUAAAAGUUUCCUCCUAGACUUCAGCACUCAUCCCUGGUCUAUUUAAUUAUUCACCCAUUUUCUCCAAUUACUUAUUUCUUACUUCUUCUGAUUGGGUGCAUACUUUUGUUUAUAUAGAAGAAGGGAUUUCUAGAUGUCUAAGAAACAUCUGCUGGCGUAAUUCUUGAUAACCAUUGUUGAAAAACGAUUGCAUUUGGGACAUUGAAAAUCCCACCCAAAAUAAUAAUUUCUAAUGAUAUUUUGUUCCCAUUGUCAUGAACUUUCCUUAUAAAUCAGGCUUAGGCUGCAAUCGAUUCCUUAUAAAUGGAAUCGACUAUCGGAUGUGUGUUCAUACGAACAACUGACAGAUCCCAAGCAGUAAGCAUCACAGUUAAAUCUAAAUACCUGUAUUCCCAUUUUGCUUCUGAGGGAAGUCGGGCAUUGCAUGCAGUAUUGCCACAUUGGAAGGAAAUAUAAUCCAGCCCAUCUCGAACAUGUUAGCCUUUCUAUCUUCCUAUUUUUACGAAGAAUGCACUGUGUUAUUUCUUGUUAUACAUAACCUCCUUGUUCCAUGUUGAUUUUUCGAUAGGCCAAAGGACAUGGACACUUCGAAUUCUCGACGGCUCUGUCGUUUGCUUCUCAGUAUAGUUGCUAUUAUUGGAUUGGCAGCCAUUUUGACAAUCUCUCUUUUGAACCAGCCACCAAAGAGAUCUCAAAGGGUGUGGUUGAAGAAAGGGGAUUCAAAUAACGUGUCUCGAUUCUUCGAUCGCAUGGCUUUGCAGUUGAAUUCUAUAGAGUGGCAGUGCCCCUGCAAAGCAAUGGAUGUGGUCGAUUACGUUGUGGCCAUGAGCUUCAAUUGGACAGACUACUUCAUGCUGUGUGCUCCAAGCUAGUGCGAAUACCUCGAGGCCAAUACUGCCAAGUGGGUUCUCUUUGCUGCUGUUGCUCAGGUUGGUGGCUUUGUUUCAGCCAUGUUGUUCGCUCUGCGCACUGUGUGUUGGCCAUUGUUCUGUAUGCUCUUUGGUUGGCCUACUUGUUUCGAGACUUGCCUGAAUAAAAGAGCAAAUGUAAAGAGCCAAGGAAGUGAUGAGCAUGGAGACAUUCUAAUGGUUAAUUGCAAGGAGAGUGAGAGUUACUCAUGCUGAAACCUUGGGAAUUCUUGUGCUCUAAAAUUAUAUAGCCGCUAUAAAAUGAUUGAGAAGUUUGCGCUCAUGGUCGAAUUUGCUACUCGCUAAAUUUCUUCCUAUACGUGGACAUUUGGUAGGUUUUCUUGUCGAUAAUAUGGACGUUUGCGGCUUUGCUGAAAUGUAAUCAGUUAAUGAACGGCGACAUCCUUCUUUUUUUUGGCUUAAUUGCAGAGAUUAUCUGAACAUGUCAUUUGGUCUUCCAAAAACGCUUCAGUUCCGUGGUUACCGAAAAAAUUAUUGGAAUGAUCUUUGGCUUGUAUUGGUUAGUAGACCUCGGAGCCAGUUUGGAAUUGAACCAGCAGAAGUUUGGUCCGAAUGGCUGAUGAAAGUUGGAGAAAUCACAGCUGAUGUCUUUAUUGCUUCCCGCUCGUUCUUGGCUUGCUUUGCAUUUGGGCUCGCAGCUCACAUGUUGGGUGAAUCAUAUUUAGGGGUUAAGGUUAGUGUAUCUGUUUUUUUCUGAAAAGCUUAAUUUGCCCUCUCCCUCACACACACACACACACACACACACUAGCCCAUGUUUUAUUGUUUCUGGAUAAUAUAUCCUAAAUAUUUCGUUAUCUUGACUUUGAACAUGGAUUCUUACAAUAUGACUCAUCUUUUGAACCGGACCGUAGACUUGAGAACUUUAUACAAGCCCCAACCUGGCUAGGUUAUCCUGAGAUCGUAGUAGCAAAUGUUAGAAUAAUUUUAAGAAUCACAUAACAACCUUCAUCGCUCAUAAUAUUUUUCUUUAUCAGUGUGAUUCUGUGUUAAUCUAUAUUAGUUUUCUUUGUUAGCAUAAUCUUGUUAGUGUAAUUUUAGGAAUCACAUGACAACCUAUAUCAUCUAUAAUUUUUUAUGUAUUGAGUUCAGUAUGUAUAACUUCUAAAAUAUAUCGAAUAUAUUAAAAAAAACAUAAAAAUAGGCAUCUCCUCGCAGCAGCGUGGAAAACCUAAUCGUAUUUGAAGGCAUAGAAUGGGCUUUCAUUCAAAUAUUGUCAUUCCUCUACCCAUAAAAAUGACCCAUCCGUCUCUUCCGUUCUGUAGUCCAUGCGCCCAUCCCUUCCAACCAGUCCUAAAAGAUUGCUUCCCCCAAAAAACCUCCCUUCCAACCAAUUGCUAUCAUGCAUGCACUUGGAGUUAUUUAUUGUGCAUUCAAGAAGCAAGAGAAUCAUUGCAAGACAAAUUCCAUACCAGACGCAACGUUGUUCCCCUGCCAUCAUUUUUUCUUCUUCUUCUUUGGUAUAGCAUCUGGUCUCUGAUAGUUAGUGAACCAUUAAUGCACUAUUAUUGACCAUGGACCACAUUAAUGUCCUAUUCUGGGGAAUGCUCGAGAGAGGACUAAUGAAAUCACCAUAUAUUGAGGGUGCGGAGUAGAAGAAUAUGACCAGAAAGAACGCGUAGAAGUAUAAAGUUGUGCUUCCCCCAGAGCCUCUUCCGGAAUGGUUAAAAUAAUACCACCUGCGACGUUUUCGAUUCAUAUUCUUCAAGCCUUAUUCUGGAUAUCUUGAUUUUUUUUCCCUUGCACGCUGAAUAGCAAUAGCCGCCUCUUUUGUCCACGAGCAAUGUACAAGCUUUCUAGAUUUAUUUAUUAAAUAAAUAAAAUUCGAAUUUAAAUUUUUGACCCAUUUAAUUUGUUUUGAUCUAUUUAACAAUAAAAUUUAAAUUUUAUUUAAUAUAUUUAAGAUAUGUUUAAUACAUUUAAAACUUAAUUAAUUUGUUUAUAUUUUGUUUAAUCCGAUAUGCUUAACUUAUUUAAUCCGUUUAAAACCAUUUAAUCUAUAAAAAAAUCAUAUAAUCUAUUUAACCCAUUAACUUGACUUAACCUAUUUAAUAAACGAAUUAUGUACGUCGGAUUUGGUUACUUAUUUAAUAAACAAAUUAGAUUUAAAUAUGAAUUUUUAACUUAUUUAAUAAACAGAUUAGGUUUAGAUUGAUGAAUUUUUAUUCCGAUCCGCAUCCAAUCCGACCAGUAUCCAACUCAACCCAUUCCGAAUGCCACCCCUAGCCCAGCUCAGCUAAGUUCCAACCCUUUGGUGGUAUGAUCUGACAGAGGUUAUGACAGUAGCAGCACAUGAUAGAGUUGGUAGGAUGACGGCACUACGAUUUAUAUUGGUGGUAGAGACGAUAGCGGCACGAUGAUAGCGGUGGUGGAAAUGAUUGUGGUAAUAAUGGUGGUGGAGAUGAUGACAACAAUAGUGGUUCCAAUAAUUGUAGGAGAGGAUAAUGGCAGCGAUGCAAAUGAUGGAGGCAACAAUGAAAGUGGUGCCGGCGAUGAUAAAAGAUAUAAAUUUCUUAUUUUUAAAAAUAGUGAAAAUAAGAUCUUCUUACUUUCACAUUUUUCAGAAUAAUGAAAAUAAUUUUUGAAAAUAAAAAUAAAAAUAAUAAUCUCAGACAUAUAUUUUGUAAUGAUUUCUUUAAUUUUAUUUUGAAAAUUAAAAAUAAGAAAUAAAAAUGAUACCAAAUAAACGUUGUUUUCAUUUUCUAGGACCAUCUGCCGGUGCAAUAGUUGGUGUUCGCCGCAUCAUGUCUCGGACGUUCAGUCCAUCCCCAAGCUUUGUGACCCACUUCAAGCAAACUAUUCCAGAAGUUCAAGCAACCUAAAUUGGAUUCCAACUUCAGACUCAAUGAGGUCAACAUAUCAACAGCUAUUUCAACCAAAAGAAACAGUCUGCUCCCCAUGGCCACCAAUGUAGGCCACAUUCGAUGCCUUCAUGCUAACUCUGGACAACCAUGGAAGAUGCCUUCUAGUUUGCUGAUAAAGUCUCUUAUCAGUUGUGCCACAGUGUAAGUGAUAAGGUUCAGGGGAGCUCAUGAGUACUAAAUAAGGCUAUUAUGUGGCCAAGAAUUGCCCGCAUGCAUCAUCCGUACGUGCGUGUGACUACAUCGACAAGCAUCCACCAUUUGCAAUGUACUGAAUUGGCUCAUAAGCCUCAAUUGCUUUCUUUACGUUAAAACAAGGCCUUCGCCAAUUUUGAUCCAUAGACUUACAGCUUGGGUUUCGCACGGAGAUCCUAUGUGAAUAUAAAAUAUUGCAGCAUCCUUUUACACCUUAUGUACAAUCUCUUGAUUAAAGAGGAGAUUCUCGGCAUGCAAAUUUUGUUUAGGACGGAGCCAUGGACCGUACUCGACCGUAACGAUCCUACUCCAUUAGGCUCUCCUUUUGAAACCCAGAUAGAAAACAUUAUUCUUACGGACAUCUGAUCCAGGUCCGACUCUGAAAGUCUUUCCACGUUCCAGCUUUCCACGCACUCUUUUAUUCUUUCCACACCUUGGGUGACUUGAGCCUUAGCUACGAAGCAAGCACCAAAAGCCAAGCUCUUCCAACCACAAGGCAUAAAGCCCGUUUUGCUCUGCCAAAGAAACGCGUUGGAAUAGGACUACAAAUGAUUGCUUGAACACGUGGACCGAACCAUGCCCCGGGCAAUUCGAUCGGACGCCAAAGUUCACCGAAAGUUUAUCCUGGAGACAAGAAUUACCAACCAGCAGCCACAUAGGCGAAUCUAGAGUGCUUCAUAUAGAUAUUGUCCUUUACAUCAAAAAAAUAUAGAUAUUGGCUUUGGCUGCAUCUCCAUCUAUGAUCAAUAUAGAGUGCUUCAUACGAGCCUUCUCCUGACGUUCCGAACGCUUUGUUUGCAAGUAAACGCUUGGUUUUCUUAUAGCGGCAUCUGUUGCACUCGAAUAACUUCUCUCGGUUGAAGUUCUUUGGAAACUUCCUGUGUCUAUACAUACACAUAAAUGUCCUUCCUUUGCUCCAUUUAACUUCUUCGUAGUCAAGAUUUUAUGCAAUCGGUAGGCAAGAUAUCCUAAAAGAAGUCUCCGACUCAAGUCUUGUUUGAAGAUAUUUCCAUAGACUUUCGAAGCCAUGGGGUUUGACCCAAGUCUCCCAACUUUGUGGCAGCUGUCUGCACCAUGGCGAGCAGUGAUUGGAAAACUUUUGCACCCCCAACCAACAUUAUUGAUCGAGGUGGAGUAGCCGAGUAGGUGUGAAUCUUAUAGAAGACCCCGAGUCAUCCCACUCGCAGCUGCAGCAAAAAGAAUUUUCUUUUUCUUUUUUAUGUCUUGGAUGCGUUAUUUGAGGCUCUUUUAGCACUGCUCUUUCUGGAUGAUUCCAUACACCCCCUUUCUUUUGUUUUUUUUUUCUGUGAUUGCUUAAUCAGAGGCCUCCUACCCUUUUCCUUCUCUCAUGCCCUUGUUUUCUGAGGGACUUCACAAGGCUAGGGAAAGCAAGCAUCCAACAGUACUCCCUUGAGAUUAGAUUAGUUCAACACAAGGUGGGUCCAUAAAGUCUCGUUCCUCACGGGAAGAAAACUCGAUCCAGCAUUUAAAUCAUCUGAUUGUUAUAUGUUAUCAACGAAUUGAAUUGGUCAUCGAAUGGAACUUGUGCCAAUCAUGUCUUUUUUAUCAGAUAAUUAAUUAGAAGCUAGGUGCGAAAUGUAUAUUAAUUGAUCCUAUGAAGGGUCACCCUAACAUAGAAAACUCCAACUAAAAUAUAAGUUACCAGUCCGUCCUAUGUCAUUCAACCAUUCAAAAUAACACAAAUAAACAAUCGUCAGGAUUCAACUAAUUGAGAUGAAUUCAAGGCAGAUGAUUAUGAUAUUAAGCUUAUAAUAAUUGACGGUCUUGCACGUAAUCUAAUUUCUAUAUACAACUCCCCUUAUUAAAGCAUCAAAGUCAAAGAUAGGUAUGUUUUGUUAGAAACGUUACCAGUGUCCAUCAAAUCAACUAGGCAAAAUAAAUAGGUCGAUGAAUACUAGUCUCAAAUCAACAUCAUCAGAAUGGAAGAAAUUAAUGUACACAGCCCAUCUUGCCCAUCCCAUUUCAUGCUGUUUAAUGGAUGCCUAGCUAAUGUUGUGGCAAUCCAUGCCCUCGCGAUUAUUUUUCACCAAAGAGGACACACGUGGACAAUCUGACACACGUGCGAGCACGGAGUCAACCAGGUCGGCUGGUGGUGGGACCCAGGGCGAUGGCCGCGGUGGAUGGCGCGAAAGCGACGCGUUGGCCGGCUGGCGCUGCUUUCCCGGGUCCUUCCUGGCGUGCCGUGGAUGGCGGCUUCCACCGCCCACUGCCUUGACCUAUGGAGCCGCCCCUCCCCCUCCGCUUCUGGUCAACACCCGGACGAAAUAAUAAGCUCCAAUAAAAAUUAUAUAUCAAAUUAAAAAUAAAUAUUAUGCGUUUUUAUUUUUCCAGAUCAAUUGGUUUUAUACGCAUUGGUUAUUGAAUCGAUGCGACCAGACGCAAUCAAGAAAGAUGGUGGUCUCAUCACGGUAGUGAUCAUGUGGGUGAUACGUAGCCACGUAGGUGGGUGAGGGGUGGACGAAAGGAGUGCACCGCGACAAUGGACAACUUGGUAUGUAAGGUCAGUUUGAGUCCUGUACAUGCCCAUCAAACGCUGGUCAUCCUCGCCGACGAGUGAAGGCUCGUAAGAAUUUAUUUAAAGCUAAAUCGACCCAUCAGGUGAACUUCUACUUCGCAGCAACCAUGCAGUGAUACCGGAGGAUGCCCGGAGAAAAAACUAAGCUGCCUUGCACCAUCCAAAUCAUAGAUUGAGGUUGCUCCUCUCUUCUUGAUUUGAUUAUUUAUUAUAUAUAUUGGUGUUUUGCUCGAAAAUAUUCAUUGGCGAGUUCGAUUUAUAGGGCAAUAAAAAUAUAGAAUAAGAAGAUAUUACACAUUUAAAGCUUCAAUGAAACAGCCUCUUUAUGUAACAUUUAGCUAGUUAUGCAAUUAGCUUAUACAUGAGGCGGCAUACAUAUUUGUUUGGUUUAUUCUUUAAAGUACAUACAUAAUUAUGAUUCCAAACCAUAAACAUAGGAAAUUAGGUUAAACAGCCAAAUAUUUUUUUAUUGCCUCCGUGCUAGGACCACAUAAAUUGCAUGACACUCGACAAAGAUCUCCAAUAACAAGGGCGAAAAUUAAGGAAGAAAAGAAAAAUAAUAUUAUCAUCUUUACUUAUUUAUUUCAAACAAAAGAUUGGUAAAAGCCCCCAAACUUAUAUAUAUUUCACAACUCCGUAUCAGAAUAGGCAUGGCUACCUGAAUUUAUCUAUCCAUAAAAGCAAAAGAAAAAAAAAAAAGGCGUACCGGUAACACCAUACCAACACCGGACCCCCGGCUUCGCUGACGGUUUAAGCUAUAAGCCCUUGGAAGCCCAAAUGCUGCGGGAACUAGCCGAUGCUACUCCGGCCACAAUAAGUUCACUCUGCCUUUCUGAAAAUGAGAAGCAUAUAAGAUACGGCUAAAAGAAGACAGCAUAUCUUUCUACGUGCCAGAAACCUAACAACCCGUCUCCUGCGGCACUAUUCCGUUAAGCCAUGAUAUCAUCCCCCCUUAGAUUUUUCCAAGAGUCAAUUUCGUCAAUCUAAAACCAGGGUUUCCCAUAACCACAGGCCAAGGUUUUCCAUGGGGGCAGCAGCACUAGAAUUAAAUAAUCCUAUCCACCCUCCACUAGAAGAUUCCCCGAUGGUUCUGUCCACAUUCGCCGAAUUGCGCAUAAAUCGGACUUUUUUCGGAAAAUAAGGGAUGAUAACUUCGUAUCGCAGACAAGUGUCCCACCUCCUACUGUAGACCUUCCCAUGGACCAUCCCUGGCUCUCUUUGUUUGUCUUCGCUGAUCUUUCUAGAGGCCUAUAAAAUGACCGGAUUGGCCUAAACCUCGAGCAACCGUCAUUAAAGAGGCAGUUAGUGGAUGAUGAAAUCUUCAUGUGGUUCGAUUAAUUGUCUUUUCUGGUGGAGGUCGGUUUGGCUUGGAUGUUCUCUUAAACUUAAUUGGCUGGAAGAGGAGAUAACGUCUGACCAAGUGGCUCAAGUAUGAAAUCCACUCCUCUGCAUGCUAUAAAUGAACUGUAUUCUAUUUAUAAUUUUAUUGGCAGGAUCGUAAUCAAGAGCCUCGUGAGUCAAAAAGAUUAGGCAAAGUGCUUUGGUGAGGCAAGUUUCUUGAAGCCUAUGCGUCAAGAAACGAGAAACUAUUCAAGCAAUAUUCAGUUUCGGGCUUCUUCUGCGAAAGUGUUUAAAAUUACACAUAUCUUUCGCUAGUAUGAUUUCGUUCAUGCUACAUAAUUAAUACGUUACCAAUGUACCAAUACAUUAAGUACAAGUUGAUACGAACUCUUCAACUGUCGAACAACCAACUGCUACAUAUCCGGCGUACAAAAGAAAUUCCCAGAAUCAAACUAAACGGUUGAUAUGGAGGCUCUUGCAAACUAGUGUACGCACGAUUUCAAGCGUUGCCGGCAUGUGUCUCGCCCAAAAAAGGUAGGGUGUAUGCUUUGGUCUAAUUGGCAAGAAUGUGGUCUGUGGCCUAAUUGAUGAUUAUAACAUGGUAAUUAUUUUUUUAUCUCUAAUGGUUUUGGCACCAUCGUAAUUGAUCCGCAAACUGAUUCCUAAUUAAAUAAGAAGUGAGGCAAGAAAACAACGUACACCUAAUUUAAAAAGUGGCAUCAGAAAUAAACAAAUGGGAUUGAUGGGUUGGGGGGAAGAUGUGAGGGAGGGCCCAAGGCAGCUUAGGCUCGGAGGGAGCCUCGGAGGAGAAAGACUUUGAGCGGAUAAGAACAAACCAGACCCCUUCGUCCCACUCACCCCUUAAGUCUACAAAGACCUUAAUCCCAUCCCCCACAACUCCUUCUAACCCCUUCUCUCUAAGCUCUCUCCUCUCUCUCUCUCUCUCUCCUCCCCCCUCCCUCCCUCCCNNNNNNNNNNNNNNNNNNNNUCUCUCUCUCUCUCUCUCCCCUCCCCCCCCUCCCUUCCCUCGUCUUCCGCCGAGUGCGCCUCUCUUAUCCUUGAAAUAGAACGAGAAAAAACGAGAACACUUUGCUCAGCAAACUGGCGAUCGAUCACGAAUCCCCCUUCAAGGAGCUCAAAAUCAAGAAUAGAAGGGUCAUGGUGAGCUUACUGUUCUUUCAUACUUCCUUUCUUGUUCUUGUAUUGGCUUGUAAGUUGUUAAUUGUUGUGUGGAAUGGGGAUUAAUUGGCCUUGUUAAUUGAUGUGUGGAAUGGGGAUUAAUUGGCCUUUUGGAACAGGGAGCAGGAGGUCCGGACGACGACAACCGGUGGCCGCCAUGGCUCCGGCCGCUGCUGUCGACCAGCUUUUUUGUGCAAUGCAAACUCCAUGCCGAUUCGCACAAGAGCGAGUGCAACAUGUACUGCCUCGACUGCAUGAAUGGCGCCCUCUGCUCGCUCUGUCUCGCCUGCCAUCGCGACCACCGCGCCAUUCAGGUAUUUUUGUUUCCUUCAAUCUCAAUACUUCAUUCAGGUAUUUCUGUUUCCUUCAAUCUCAAUACUUCAUUCAGGUAUUUCUGUUUCCUUCAAUCUCAAUACUUCAUUUACGGAUUUUUCUUCCGAUAAAUUUCUUCUUUUUCUUGCAAUUCGUGUUCCUUUUUUCAAUAAAUGCUAAACGGUUGGUCUUACCAAUUAAGAAUCCUGUUCUCCUUUUUUUUCCCCUUUUUAGCUAUCGGUUUUCUUGUUUCUCAGUCUCGUAAUCCCACUUCCCGGAUUUGUGUGUUAUUUCCCUCUCAAUGCGACAAUUUUUGGGGCAUCUGAUUAUUUCUACUUGUGAUGAGACAUAAUUUCUUCGGUAAAUUUACUACAGAUAAGGAGGUCAUCCUACCAUGAUGUUAUCAGAGUGUCGGAGAUACAGAAGGUGCUGGACAUCAGCGGCGUCCAGACUUAUAUCAUCAACAGCGCCCGCGUGGUGUUCCUCAACGAGCGCCCCCAGCCGAGGCCCGGCAAAGGCGUCACCAACACCUGCGAGGUCUGCGACCGGAGCCUCCUCGACUCCUUCCGCUUCUGCUCCCUCGGCUGCAAGGUAUCCAUCCCCUCCUUUAUUCCCUUAUCUUUCGCUUGGAACUAUGUCUAUUGCCCCUGCAGCGCAGAUUCAAAUUCUAGUCUUUUAAUUGAAUGUAUUGCUCGAUGAAAUGCCUAGAUUGUCGGGACCUCCAACGAUCACAGCAAGAAGAAGAGGAAGAGAAAGAAAGCAGCGGCCUCGUCGGCCUCCGACUCCGAGGAGUCGUACACCAGCACCAGCCGCGGGAGCGAGAAGAGCAAUGCAGUACAGAGCUUCACUCCGUCGACCCCGCCGCCGACCGUCCUCAGCUACCGGACCGCCAAGAGGCGAAAGGGCAUUCCCCACAGGGCCCCCUUUAGCAGCCUCAUCUUGGAGUUCUAGACUGCUCCGACGCUACCGCAGGAUGCAUACCAGUAUAGACGUAAUAUAUACGUAUAUAUAAGAGAAGAUAAGAACCACCAACCCAACUCUCUCUUGAUGUCAUAUAGUUCAUAGCUACAUGGGGAUCAUCCACGGCACUCUGCGCUUCCUGACGAGAGGCCGGUGCUGGGAACUCACAUCGAUUCACAGAGAAACAGAAGGGCAGAUGGAAAAAGGACCUCAGACAGCUCAUAGUUUAAUUAGGCUUGGAAGUGUAGCUAAAGACCGUAGUGAAACAGAUGUUAUCAUAGGUUCUGGUGUUUUAGAUGAUAUAAAUGGUGGUAUGCGUUUACUACUCUCCUUAUACCUAAGUUUUGUGAUAAUAUGUUGGUUUAGCCUUUGUUAAAUGUAAANNNNNNNNNNNNNNNNNNNNGUAAUAAUAGAAGAAGAAGAAGAAGUAGUUAGUAGAGAGAGAGAGAGAGAGAGAGAGAGUUUGUUGUAGCGAGGGAAAGGAGACAACGUCUGUAAGAUGGGGAAUGUAAUAAAAUGCUCCUUGUUUUCUUCAGGGGUAGUCUUGAUCCUUGGAUCGUACUCUGCGCAGCUCUCAGAGCACUCCGAACUAUUUUUUUUCAUCUGUCUGCGCGGAUCCUGAAGCGAUUAUUGCGCAAAAUCUAACCGCGGCUUCGCGCGAAGAAACGUUAAUCCUUCUUCCGCGCGAAAGAUGCGAACGCCGCUGGCUGGCUGGAUCUAUCGGGUCGCUUGUGGGUCCCAUACCGGGGGCCGAGUUGUUUUGGUCCGGGUGGCGUGGGGGAGCUGCUAGACUUCUUGCUUGCGUGGGCUGGCCUGAUGAAGACGUGGCUGUUCAUGAUUGGAAAUUGGUGGGGUGUACCAUACCGCCUCCGUUCGUGACCCGUUCUCGGAAAGCAGCCCUUGUCCUCCGUUUUGAUGAGCAGGUGGUCCAUGGAGAACGACCACCGCGUGAUCAGCAUUCGAUGGUCGCGACUCGCGAGUUUGUUUGGUGUGAGUCACCGUCCUGUGUGGAAGAUAUUGGGCAGAAUGCUCGUUUCCCAGGGGGCUUGUUCCCGUGAUCCGAUAUUUGUUUCAUAGCACGAAAUAUGGUGCUCACCAUCUCUUAGCGCGACGCUUUAUGCAAAGAGGAGAAGAAGAAUACACGUGGCAGCAGAGUGGCCAUCCGCUGCUAAUGGCGACGCGCUUGCUGACGAAGGACCGGGAAUGCCGUCUCCGUCGUCGUGGCUCCACUUGUAAAAGUUGGGUCCAGCAGAAUAGUGCCACGUGGCUCACGCGGGCUGCCAAUAAUUCUCCGCACCUCGACUCUCCGCCGCCCAAGACUUACCGACUCCUCUUUUAACUCUUCCGAACUCGUUUACCGACACGUGCGGUCCCUACGUUCCACCAAUUGGGCGUCGAUUCGGUUGUCAAAAGACUCAGAAAACGAAUCGUAUUGGUUUUAACUGCUAACGAGAAGCGUUUUUCUGGUCGAUGCGUUUCCCACGAGCAAAGCACUCAUAGGUAGAGUGGGAGUGGGUGGAGAUGUGGAUCUCUCUAAAGUCCUUUUUUUUUUUUUUUCUUGCCUCUCCCAAUUCCCAAACCUGGAACAGCCCUUAAUUUAUUAGAUUCGGCUCCUUGUGCUCCGCCCACUGGCAAGCACAAAAAAGCCCCGCCUAUGGGUCGUUAAAGUGGGUUUGGGUGGAGAGGAACUGGGCCCCACCCCGGACCCUCUGUUUCACGGAUUGGCCUAAGCCAUGAUGUCAUUUGCUCCCUGAAAACCUUCAUCGACAGUAAACCAAAACCGCGACCUCUCUUCCACGGCGGUGGGCCCGGCCUUCGUUCGGUCAGCAGCAUCGAUGGGCCCUCGCAUCCGCCGCUCCGUUGAUGGCCGGAUUUUCCCAUCGUUGCGGCCGACGUAUGUUAGGUGUUAGGUUUCUGGUUCAAAUGACAAAUCUAAGGCUUGGCAAUUAAGCUUAAUUGGAUACUUUCA